GUAAAAAAUAAUACUUUUGUGGUAAAGGACAUCACUACUGCAUCCCAAGCCAAAUUAAUCACGUAGAGCCUCUUUCCCCUUAGAGACCGAUGACCAAAAGGAGAAAAAAAAAACACCAAAAUUUAACUAAUUAAAUCCACAUAUAAAUAAACAGAAGCCCUCCCCAUCCCCAUGAAUCCAAUAAAACUCACCUACCCUCAACUGCCGUUGCCGUCACGAGUGCUUAAUUGAUCUGCCCCUUUUUCCCUCUUCUUCCCUCACCCUAUCCCCAUGCAUGAUUCUCCAUUACCUUCUUUGAUCCAAGAAUUCAUUCUCCUCUUCCUUCAAUUGCACCCAGAUUGCACAACAAACCCAUAUCUAGCAGUUGUCAACCAUCACACGCAAAAUUCAUCAUAAUGCAAGAAUCAGCAACACCCCCUUAUUUAUUAUUCCCUUCACUUUCACGUUAACAUUUCCACACACCCAACAACAACUUCCAUAGCAACCAGAACAACAAGUAAAACAAAACAAGACACUUCUGAUUCUGAAUCUUCUUACAUCAAGUUCAAACCUUUCUACAAAAAAAUUAUACCCUUUUGCCCAAUUCAAUCAAAUCACACUUCACUAACUAACUACUUCGCUUCCUUCACAAUGCCGGAAUCGCCCAACUCGCACGCCGGAAACUCACUGAGUCAACUCGCUCGGAGCAUGUUCUCCGACAACAACAGCAACAUCUUACUCGCCGCCAUUGUUUCCUUGCUCCUCGUCAUCCUCUUCGUCCUUCUCCUCCACGUGUACGCCAAGUGGUUCUUCCUAGCUCGGGCGCAAUCACAGUCACAGUCACAAUCUCGCCGCCGUCGCCGGCGAACUCCGGCGAGUUCUUCCUCCUUCACCCACAUCAGCAUAGAAGCCUCCUCCUCCUCCUCCUCCUCCUCAUCAUCAUCAUCAUCUGUCUCCACCAAAGGGCUUGAUUCAGUGAUGGUUUCGAAGAUUCCGAUGUUUGUGUCGGAGUACGAAGCAGAAGCAGAGGAAUUGGAAUGCGUGAUUUGCUUGAGUGGAAUUGAAGAGGGAGAGAUUGGAAGAAGGUUAACAGAGUGUGGCCACGCUUUUCAUGUGGAGUGCAUUGACAUGUGGUUGAGCUCUCAUUGCAAUUGUCCACUCUGCAGAGCCCCUGUUUCGGUCAACGAUUCUCAGGUGGGUUCGGUUGGUGGCGGUGAUGAUGGCGGUGGUGGUGGUGGUGAUGACCAUGGUGUGCUUGAGAUUGUGAUUGGUGGGGAUGAUGAUGAUGAUUUUGGAGGUUCUUCUGUGUCAGAAACUUCAGUGUCUUUGUUGGGUUUUUCUUUGAAGAGAUUACUGAGUAAGGUUUUUCUAUCUUCCCAUGUAAAUGAAUUAGAAGGUUCACAAUGAGAUGAACACAAACAUGAGCUAUUAAUCAAUAUACAAAUGAUUUUGUUGGAUUUUGUUAUGCAUGUUUCUAAGAGAAUUUGUUUGGUUUGUUUUGGAGCUCUUAAUUUCAUUUCUUUCUUCCAUUUCAGGAUUGAUUAAGAGAAUUAAAUCAUUAAGAGUUUAUUAGUGGAGAGUGAAAUGAGAGACUAAUGAGUGUGUUUGAUUUCCCUUGAAAAGAUAUUCAACUCACAUAUUCGUUUUUCCAACUGAGUAAAGUUGUUGGGUCGAGAAAAGUAAAGUUAUUAGAUCGAGAAAAAUCACAUUCACAUCAAAUUCAACGGAUAAACAAACAAACUCGUAUAUUGAUGUGUUUGUUAGAUAUCUGCAAUAUUUGUUCUAACUCACCGUUUGACAAAAGACCUUAUAUUGAAUAGUCCAUAAGUAAUUAACUGCUAACUGAAUAAACUAAUUGAGAAACUAAUUACAAUAACUGCCAAAACUAAAACAAAUUGCAUUAAGUUCUAAUACUCCCUCAAAUUACACUAAUCAUCAUCAUGAAAUGGUGAUAUAAUGUCAUAUGAAUGGCAGAGUUUUUUUUUUAUCACAAAAAAAGCAUUGCCAACAAGUGUUACUUUGAAAUCCACAAUAAUGUCUCAACCAAAGUUCUAUUGUGACAGCAACAAUAGCUCUGUAUUAUUAAGCAUCAAUGGAUGACCUGACACAAAAAAUUACUAAGUUUACAUUAAACCUACAUUUGAAUGGAGAAUUUCAAGAUCAUUUGAAACUGAAAAUGUAAGGAAUACUAAAUUUCACCCAUUUAAUUACAUUAAUAUGUAUAAUUAUUUGUUUGGAUGUUUACCCCUUAGUAUAAAAAUCUGGAAGUUAAUAGCUAUGAAGAAGAGGAAUGUAAAAUUAUACAAUUGAUAGGAAGAGUCCGGUGGAGGAUUUCACACAUUCAACCUCUUAAGAGGGUCUUUAAACUCAAAUUUUUGUGACAAACAACACUUUAUUUUUAUACUAAAUGUUAACGCACCACCGUGCAGAUUCAAUCAACUGAGAGAAUCCUCAUCCUGAGGAGAUUCAGGAAGAAAGAACACUAAGUAUCCAAACAAAGUAGUAAUUUAUGAUAAAAUAUUUCAAAUUCUCUAAUAAAUUAGUACAUUCUAUUCAAAAAAUCCUUUAUCCAAAUCCCAAUACAUAUAAAUUAAGUUCAAAUACCCAGGGACCAACACAUAUGUUAUAUGUGGUACAUCACUUUCAAUUUGGUUGUAUUUCUAUUGCCAGCAAUGCAGUGCAGUUAGCACCCAUUCAACAUCCUACAAAGGAGUGCUAAAUAGUAGUGCUGCAUUGGUUACACAUCGCCAUCUGUCAUGACUCAUGACACAUUGAAUUCAACAGUAUAUUAAUUGAAUGUUCUGAAAUCUCAAGUCUAAACUUGUGCUGUUUCCAUCAUCAUCAAUUAGUCAAAGAAAAAUCGUGUCUGUGGUUAGCAGAAAACAAAUGGGAUUGGCAUUAGGGAAGGACAAAACCCCAUAUUUUGUGGUCAAUGUUAUUAUGGCUAUGGAUGUAUAUAUCAUAUAUGUUGCAUGAACCUAGUUCUGUAAAAUGGGGCAGUCAAAGAAACUGCCGCAAGUGAGGCCAUGUACAGUGACGUUUGCUUUGAAGUAUUUAAUGCAGACCUUGGCCCUAGCCUACCUUAGCCAACGAAGUAUGCACCGUAGAACUUUAAUUAUUAGUUGUAUAUAGAUUAGUACAUGAAUUCACAACUUGAAGUUAUAGUGGUGAAAAUGAUUCGUAAAUAUCUCACUGUAACAUUUUUUUUUUUUGGUUAUAAAUGCUUAAAGAGAGAAACAAAAAUGAAAACACAUAGAGAAGAAAACGCGGAAAGAAGUCCCUAAGCGAUCAGCAAGAAGCAUAGGAGCAACACCAACCGGUGGAUCAUCCCACACCAGCAGAGAAGACGACGACCCAACACCAAAUUUUACCAAGAAGUCUGCAGCUGCAUUGCCCUCACAAAGCAAAUAGUGACAAAAGUUGAAUCUGAUAUAUGACCGAAGAGAAAAAUGGAGAGAAAAGUUGAGUAUACGUGUAGUGUACAUUAUUUAUAUGUCCGGGAGUAUCAUUAUUGUGUUAUAGUUGCCCUCUUGCAUCUAUGGAAAACUUAAGGUUGAAAUUUUAUAUUUAUAAAUUUUUCAUGUGUAAAAAAUAAAUGAUCCCUCCUAAAUAUGUAUAAAAAAGGAUUAAUGUGCUGCAACAGAAGCUGUAGGACAUAGUGGAAAUAUUUGGGUUUUGGUUCCUAUCACAUGUUCUUUUAGGGUCCGUUUGGUGAUCACGACAUGAUAGAAUAUGACAGGAUCGUAAACAUAUCAUGUUGUUAUCUGUUGCGUCAGCAGGAUAGGAUAUCCAGUCUCAUAUCCUAUCAUGUCCAUCAUAUGUAAAAGUAUUCUGAGGGGGGAGUUAGGAUAAAACAGGAUAGGAUACCAGUUACAUAUUUUCUUUCAGUAUCCUAACUCCAAAUUAAUUUAUUUUAAUAUUACAUAAUUUAUAAUUUAUAAUUUAUAAUUUAUAAUAAUAUUAAUUAAUAAAUAUAAAAAUAUUAAUUUAACUAAAAUAAAUAAAUAAAUAAAAUUAUUAUUCAUAAAUAGUAAAAAUAUACUACUCACUUACAAAUAUUGAUUUAUUAAUAANNNNNNNNNNNNNNNNNNNNNNNNNNNNNNNNNNNNNNNNNNNNNNNNNNNNNNNNNNNNNNNNNNNNNGCUGUUCACAUAUCAUUUCUAUCAUAUCUUGUCCUGAUCACCAAACGGGCCCUUAGAGUCGAGAUUGAUGAUGUGCAGCAGCAGGUGGUCUCUAUAUCCAUUUGUAAUGGGGCAAGGAAUUGGGUUUGCUCUCUUGUUUAUGAGAGCCCUCAUUUGGCUAGGCGGUAAGAGCUUUGGCAACACAUGAAAUGCCUUCGUCGUCGCAUCACCAACCCAUGGUUCAUAGUUGGGGACUUUAAUGAGGUGUGUGCUCCCUCCAAGGUGGUAGGAGGAGUUUUUAGUGAGACGUGUGCUAUCAUGCUAUGUCUAUGCUGAACAUGAUGGAUACUUGUGAAUUCAUUGAUCUGGGAGCUACUGGAAGGAGCUUCACGUGGGAAAGGGGACAAGAUGGGAGACAUAUCAUGGCAAAAAGACUAGAUAGAGCCCUUGCAGAUUUGGCUUGGCGACACUUUUUUCCUGAAUCGUAUGUUGAGCAUUUAGCUUGGGUGUACUCCGACCAUCGCGCUCGUCAGGUGCACGGUUGAGCCUGGGCCUGGUGGGGCCCGCCCGUUCCGUUUCCUGGCAGCUUAGACCACCCAUCCGAAGUUUGAACUUCUUGUGCGUCACUCUUGGGGAAAACCUUCUUCCACUUUAAUUGGAAAGCUGAACAAUGUUAAGGAGGCAUCUCUAGUGUUUAAUAGAGAGAAACGCUUGGCAACAUCCACAGGUAGGGAUGGCAAUAGGUCUUGGGCACCCGCAAAAAAUACCAACAAUGGGUAGGGUAAAAAUCCGUUAGACGGGUAUGAAAUUGGGCAUGGAUAAAUAUCCGCAAAAAGUAGUGGGUAUGAGUACUAUAGUACCCAACCCGCCUCAUUCCCACACACACAUAUUAUACUUACACANNNNNNNNNNNNNNNNNNNNNNNNNNNNNNNNNNNNNNNNNNNNNNNNNNNNNNNNNNNNNNNNNNNNNNNNNNNNNNNNNNNNNNNNNNNNNNNNNNNNNNNNNNNNNNNNNNNNNNNNNNNNNNNNNNNNNNNNNNNNNNNNNNNNNNNNNNNNNNNNNNNNNNNNNNNNNNNNNNNNNNNNNNNNNNNNNNNNNNNNNNNNNNNNNNNNNNNNNNNNNNNNNNNNNNNNNNNNNNNNNNNNNNNNNNNNNNNNNNNNNNNNNNNNNNNNNNNNNNNNNNNNNNNNNNNNNNNNNNNNNNNNNNNNNNNNNNNNNNNNNNNNNNNNNNNNNNNNNNNNNNNNNNNNNNNNNNNNNNNNNNNNNNNNNNNNNNNNNNNNNNNNNNNNNNNNNNNNNNNNNNNNNNNNNNNNNNNNNNNNNNNNNNNNNNNNNNNNNNNNNNNNNNNNNNNNNNNNNNNNNNNNNNNNNNNNNNNNNNNNNNNNNNNNNNNNNNNNNNNNNNNNNNNNNNNNNNNNNNNNNNNNNNNNNNNNNNNNNNNNNNNNNNNNNNNNNNNNNNNNNNNNNNNNNNNNNNNNNNNNNNNNNNNNNNNNNNNNNNNNNNNNNNNNNNNNNNNNNNNNNNNNNNNNNNNNNNNNNNNNNNNNNNNNNNNNNNNNNNNNNNNNNNNNNNNNNNNNNNNNNNNNNNNNNNNNNNNNNNNNNNNNNNNNNNNNNNNNNNNNNNNNNNNNNNNNNNNNNNNNNNNNNNNNNNNNNNNNNNNNNNNNNNNNNNNNNNNNNNNNNNNNNNNNNNNNNNNNNNNNNNNNNNNNNNNNNNNNNNNNNNNNNNNNNNNNNNNNNNNNNNNNNNNNNNNNNNNNNNNNNNNNNNNNNNNNNNNNNNNNNNNNNNNNNNNNNNNNNNNNNNNNNNNNNNNNNNNNNNNNNNNNNNNNNNNNNNNNNNNNNNNNNNNNNNNNNNNNNNNNNNNNNNNNNNNNNNNNNNNNNNNNNNNNNNNNNNNNNNNNAACCCUAAUCUCAUAGUGGGAAUCAUAAGAGUGGAGGAUCGUUUAAGCAACCCUAAUCUCGUAGUGGGAAUCAUAAGCGUCGAGGGGUCGUUUAAGCAACCCUAAUCUCAUAGUGGGAAUCAUAAGCGUCGAUGGAUCUUUUAAGCAACCCUAAUCUCAUAGUGGGUAUCAUAAGUGUCGGGGGAUCGUUUAAGCAACCCUAAUCUCAUAGUGGGAAUCAUAAGUGUCGAUGGAUUGUUUAAGCAACCCUAAUCUCAUAGUGGGAAUCAUAAGCGCCGAGGGAUCGUUUAAGCAACCCUAAUCUCAUAGUGGGAAUCAUAAGCGUCGAGGGAUCGUUUAAGCAACCCUAAUUUCAAUAAUGCAGAUUAUAUUUAAUGGAAAAAUAAAUAAAUUUUGAAUGCACUAAUUUUUUUAUAAGCGUCGAGGGAUCGUUUAAGCAACCCAUACAAUGAAAUGUAGGAUGUGCUCAUAAGGAAGUCAUUUGACUAUUAUGGGACCUUGGUCAAGUAUGUGUUCCCAAGGAAGAUCUGAAGCUGCAUUUGCAAAGCUGCAUGUUUUGAUGAUGGGGUCAAGGGGGGUUGGUUUCCAAAGUAUUGUUUUGUCAUGUCUGCAUGUGUAUGUAAUGCUCCCAUCUUUUGUGUAACUUUUAUCUCUUUGUUGCUGGACAAUUGUGGCCUGUUUGUGCCAGUCUUUUUCUUUAUUAAUGUUGCUUACUGUUGGACAAGUGUUGGACAAGUUUGGGCUGGUGUGCCCUUUUCUAUUUAUCUAUGGAUAAGUUUUGGCCUGAUGUGCCUUUUGUUAUUAUUGCUAUUUCCCUAUAUGGAUAAAUUGUGUGCAUGAUGUUUCAGGUUGUUUUGGUAUUUUAUUAGGUUCACAUAAAUAAUAAGGUCGUGCAUGAAGUGCCCCACAUGGAUACAUUUAGUGCAUGCAUGAUGCUUGAGUUGUUUUGCAAGUAAGGUUUAAUCACUUAUACUAUAUUCCAUUAUAAAUUUGUUUUUUUAAAUAUAACAAUUAGCAUCACAGGAUCAUGCUUGCUCUGAUUUUAUGUUAAAAUUAACAAUUAACAUCAAAGUUCAGUUUCAUGAUAUCAUAACAUAGCAUAAAAUAUAGAGUACCAAUGUAGAUCAUUACACACAACCUAAGGUUCAAGUAUUUAAUACCUAAUACAAAAUAAACUACUAUUUAACCCAUUUUGCUUGCAAAAGCAGUAGCAACAAGCAAAACCAGAAAACAAACGAUAACAAACACCCACGUGCCCAUAAUAAUAUUGACAUAAGCUUGCUCCCUCCUCCUUCCUUCAGCCAGCAAAAGUUUCAAUGUAGCAUCCUCAGUCCCAGCAGCAGAAGUCCCAGCAGCAGCAGCAGUAUCACUGUUCCUUUGUGAAUUAGUCACACUGGAAUGGUUCACUUGAGGUGCUUCAUCAACAGGCUGGGUAGGACCUUCAGCCCAAUCAAAAUAGUUGCAACCCUACACAUUUUGAAAUAAGACUAAGAAAGUUGAAUAUCGAAUAUUUUAUCCCUAAACCCCAAAAUAAAUAAUGGAUAAUUUACCCCAUGAGGGCAUUGAUAAAAUGUGCGCCCAUAAUUGAUCCUAGUCCACGCGAUUUUAAGAGUCGGAUAAAGACCUCACUUGCAACGCCUUCCAUCAUUCUGGGAAGAAAAUGAUUGGGAGGCCAUUUUUUGAACUACAAUUAUAAACAAAAAAGAAUAAUAACAUCAUUAAAAUUAACGAACGCUAAACAAAGCACAACCAUAGUUAUUAAAAACAAAUAAGAACACAAAUAAGCACAACCAAGAGUAACCACCACAAAAGGAAACAUAAAUGUGUUCUCAACAUCAAGUCAUGGCAACAAGUCUAACAAUCGAAACCUAAUUGCCAUCAAUGGCGCUGAAUCCUAACAUGUAGAACGUUAUUCGAACCACUAUGACUGAAAACGAGCUUGUCAUUUUCAGCUAAUUGGUUGUCACUCACAAACUUGUAAAACUCUUCGCCAAGAUGGCAAUCAGUAAGUUUUCCAUUCCUCUUCCUCCAACAGAGCUUGCAAAUAUACCAUUCUUGAUCCCCUUCCUUUUUCAAUAAUACUUUUUCCCAGCUAUGUUCAAGGAAGUCACGAACAUAUGACCGUGGCAAAGGCUGAUCAAAAUAAGAAAAGUCAACAGGAUUAGAGACAUGUAACUCUACAAGUUCAGCUAUCUAAAAAACACAAACAUUGAGAAUGCUUACCAAAGUAUGACCACCACCAGCAACAGAACUAGUGACAAUCUUCUCAAAGGUGUACCUUGCAUUCUGAACCUGGCCAACUGCAGCAACUUGAGGGCCAUCUGCCACAACCUCUUCCUCAGCCACAACAUCUUCAUCAACCACCACCUCAAANNNNNNNNNNNNNNNNNNNNNNNNNNNNNNNNNNNNNNNNNNNNNNNNNNNNNNNNNNNNNNNNNNNNNNNNNNNNNNNNNNNNNNNNNNNNNNNNNNNNNNNNNNNNNNNNNNNNNNNNNNNNNNNNNNNNNNNNNNNNNNNNNNNNNNNNNNNNNNNNNNNNNNNNNNNNNNNNNNNNNNNNNNNNNNNNNNNNNNNNNNNNNNNNNNNNNNNNNNNNNNNNNNNNNNNNNNNNNNNNNNNNNNNNNNNNNNNNNNNNNNNNNNNNNNNNNNNNNNNNNNNNNNNNNNNNNNNNNNNNNNNNNNNNNNNNNNNNNNNNNNNNNNNUUAGAGUCGGAUAAAGACCACACUUGCAACGCCUUCCAUCAUUCUGGGAAGAAAAUGAUUGGGAGGCCAUUUUUUGAACUACAAUUAUAAAAAAAAAAAUAAUACCAUUAAAAUUAACGAACGCUAAACAAAGCACAACCAUAGUUAUUAAAAACAAAUAAGUCCAAAAAAAAGCAAAACCAAGAGUAACCACCACAAAAGGAAACAUAAAUGUGUUCUCAACAUCAAGUCAUGGCAACAAGUCUAACAAUCGAAACCUAAUUGCCAUCAAUGGCGCUGAAUCCUAACAUGUAGAACGUUAUUCGAACCACUAUGACUGAAAACGAGCUUGUCAUUUUCAGCUAAUUGGUUGUCACUCACAAACUUGUAAAACUCUUCGCCAAGAUGGCAAUCAGUAAGUUUGUCAUUCCUCUUCCUCCAACAGAGCUUGCAAAUAUACCAUUCUUGAUCCCCUUCCUUUUUCAAUAAUACUUUUUCCCAGCUUUGGUCAAGGAAGUCACGAACAUAUGGUCGUGGCAAAGGCUGAUCAAAAUAAGAAAAGUCAACAGAAUUAGAGACAUGUAACUCUACAAGUUCAGCUAUCUAAAAAACACAAACAUUGAGAAUGCUUACCAAAGUAUGACCACCACCAGCAACAGAACUAGUGACAAUCUUCUCAAAGGUGUACCUUGCAUUCUGAACCUGGCCAACUGCAGCAACUUGAGGGCCAUCUGCCACAACCUCUUCCUCAGCCACAACAUCUUCAUCAACCACAACCUCAAACUCUUCCUCAGUGUCAGAACUCAAAUAUAAUACCUCUGGGGUUGGUGGUUCAUCAUGCCCUUUUUUAGCAGGUCUUGGACAAGGGAGAUGGGAUGGUGUUUUGUUCUUCUCUUUCAUCCCUUUUUGACCAGGUUUUACACAAGGGAAAUGGGUUGGUGCUUUGUACUUCCCUUUUUCACCACCAUUGGUUGGUGCUUUGUUCUUCCCUAUUUCACCACCAUUUGGAUAGGGGAAAUGGUUCUUAUUUUCGUCAUAAAUUUCAACUUUAAACCUAUUUCCCCCUUCAUAUUGAAAAACCAUAUCAUGGUUUUUUUUAAAACCAUAAAAUGAAACCAAGAUAGGAACAACAUAAUCAAGAAAGCCUCCAAGCAAGUCAGUCAAAACUUCCAACUUUACACAGUUUCCCUUCGGGUCAGUGAGCAGCACCUCAGACUUAAUUUCAUUUUUCUUCUUUUCAUAAAAAUCUUUUGGCAAUUUCAUGUGAAAAUUUCUCAAUAUUAUAGGGAUUGAAAACAUUUGGGGACUUCUACUACCAUAGAAACUAGAGAUACUACCACUGGGAUCCAUUGCUUCACAAUAAAAAUUGAGGGAGAUUUAAUCACCUAAAGAAUAACAAAAAAUUGAGUUAACAAACAACUUAUAUAUCAAAAAAAAUCAACCAACCCACAAGGGCACAAAGUUCAUUACUAUCAACAAGAACAAGAACAACAAGAACUGAACAAAACGCAGAGACAUUACUCAGCAAAAACCAUUUACCCCAAACAAUGGAAAAAAAAAUUAACUAGGCCGCCAUUUACACCAGAUCAACAAAGAUUGCAUUAACCCCAGAAAAACAAAGAAAAUAUCAAACCCUUGCACCCCAAUAAUCGUACACCACCCCGACAAGAUCAACAUGCAACACAAAAUCCCUAAAAUCCCUAACAUCAACACUCACAAUUUCCUGUUCCCACAAUGAAGCAAUUAAAACCACUAACCUUGUCACGGUGGUCAGAAAAUGAUAGCGACGAUCUACUCGACAACAACAAAGCUUCGUCCUUUUCAGCCCAACAACAACAAACACCAAAGCAUGGAAACAAAAGAAAAACCAAAACAAUUAAAACGGUGGUAACGAAAACCGACGACAAAGAAAAAGCAGAAAGAUAAAAAACCGCAAAGACAGAGGAGGAAGAGAGGACAACUGGAAAGAGUGAGACAAAUAAAAAACUACCUUGGUCGUCGGAGGAACUUCAGCAGAGGAGACGGAGUUGCACUAAGCUUGGUCUUUGUUUGGGAACCUGAAGCUUCUUAGGGAAGAUAAGUUUCAAAACCUUGGAAAAAGGUGAAAGGGUGAAAAGAUCAAUCAACUCUGACUACUCCAACCAUGGUUUACUUACUUUGGGUUAACUUAAUUGUUUUUCCUUUUUCUGUUAUUCAAAAACGAAAUAAUUGAAAAUAAAAAUUCAUGCCACUUGUCUCUAUCUAAUUGGUCCACGUCAUACCCAACUUAUUUCUGUAUCAUACCCAAACAAAUUGUUGUGGUAUCGUAGCAUGCACCAAACAAAAAAUGGCUGUUCUUAACUUUUGGUUCUUACCACCGAUCAUCUAGACUCAAAGUGUCACAUAGGAUCUAAGUUACUUAUAAGUAAUUGAUGUAGAUUUUACUCCAAUUACGAGUUUUAAAUUUUGAGUUCUUAGCACUAUUUUUCUAGUCCAACAAUACAAUAUUAUUUAUAUUUUUUAUUUCCAUAGAGCAAUAAAACACACAUAAAGUAAUAAAGCAAAUAUGAAUAAGAGAAAAAAAAAUUUUUAUACUAAGAACUAAUAAAGUCAAGUUACUUAUAUAAGAACUGAUUUAAGAAUUAAGAACUUCACAUCAGCAUUCAACACUCUUCAAUGCUUGUCUCUAACUGUUUGCUCUUUACAUUGUGAUAUUGCUCGCGCGAGAUUUAUUCUCAUCUGGAUUUUGAAUGGAAUUUGAUUCAUUGACAAAAAAAAAAACCAAAUACCUUUAUAUAUAUUUUUUUCAUUUUAAAGUUAGUGGCCCAUUAAGGAGGGAUCGACUAUAUUAUACUUUUUUUCAUCAACAAACUAUACUUGUCAACUAUAUCAGUAAUUUUAUUACCAAAAAAUGUUAUAAUAAUAUUUGAAAGAAAAGAUUAUAAUAUUUAAUUAAAAUUUGUAAAUUCAUCUUAAAAAAAUUAUUUUGAAACACUUAAAAAAUGUUACUUUAUUUAAUAUUCUAAUUUUAUUUUAAUUUUUAAUAUAGAAUCUAUAUUAAAAUUAUUUGAAGUAUAAAAUAACAAGUUGAAUAAUAUUCUAUGAAAGGGUAAAAUAGCAAAUGUGAAAACAACACUCUUUUCCUUUCAUUUUCUUUUCUUUUUCACUCAAUCCAAACAACUCAAAAAUCAACUCACUUUCCAUUUAUAUUCUUUUCUCUUUUAUUCCUUUCAUUUUAUAUUCAUUUCACUCAUUUUCAUUCCUAUAACCAAACAAACACACUAAAGUAUUGUUGAGCCAAAGCAAGCAUAUCCAUCCUAAAAUUAGUUUGUUUUUCUAUGUCAUUUCCUAAGACUUAGGAUCAUAUAUUUACUUGAGCGAUAAAAUGCACUUGUUCGGGUUUGCGUGCGAAUCUUCAACGUUAUGCCAAUAUUAUUUAAAGUUGGAUGUCAAUUAUGUGUGUUUGGUUUAACCGACUAUUUUCGACCUAAUGAUGUCUCAUUUGAACGUGACUACUAGUCAAAAGAGCCAUCAACAAGAUGGAAACUCACUCAACAAUGGAAGAACCCAAACAUAAUCACUAUGAUCGUCAUCUCGGGAAACUCCCUCUCACAUUCUCAUAUCUUCCCUAACAAUCUCCUAACGAACCCUUAAAUUCUCUAAAACGUUUAUGGCGCUUAACUAAUUGAAUAUUGGAUUGUCAAAUUCAUCCACCACCUCCACAAAGCGACGCUCAACACUCACGCUACGCUGAUAGGUAGGUGUACCUCUCUUCACUCACCAAUUUCACUGCCUUCUGCUAAAAAAACUCGCAUUUUCCCCAUUCUUACCUUUCCAGUUGGAUCCAUUAAGUAUACAUUCUCUGAUUUUCCCAUCCUCUUGUCUUUUCUUUUGUUGAAUGAAUUCAGUUCCCCAAUCUCCAAUUAUUACAGGGUUUAGUUUAGUUAUGAGAUAGAAACUUGCUGAGCUUAAUGAUUUUGAGUAGCAAUGGUCAAAACCAGCUCAGUGGUAUUGACCUAGAUUCAGGAAUGAGGUCUCACAAUUUAUAAUCCCUCAUAUUUAUUAGAUUAUGUAGAUUGUAGACUAUUAUAAUUCGUCCGAAUUUGAAAAUGUUUCUGUUUUACUUACUUUGAUUUAUUUUAUCAGGGUGAUUGGUGAUACAAUUUUUUCUAUUUGAAUGGUGAUUCAUUGCACAUACUUUUGCAAAUUGCAAUUUAAUGUUAGAUAGAAACAUACUUCUCCAAUGUCUAUUCACCGAAAUCUAAUGCUUCCUGGAUAUUCUUCUGCAGGAAAGCAUGUGCAGCCUGGAGGUAUGCUUAUUGGAUCUUCAUCAUAUCUUGUUUGACAUUGAAGAUUUUGUCUUCUUUAACUAGUAAAAUUCAGUAUUUAAGGAAUAAAAACUUGUUUUCUGAUGGUCAUUAAUAUAUAGGUGAUUUAUAAUAGUAGUUUUUUUUUUAAAAACUUUUAAGGGAUAGUAAACCAUCACUGGUUUAUGGAGGUUAUUUAGGUGAUAUUCUAUAGCAGUUUACAGUUUUUAUCAGAGUUAUAGAGGUUCCUUGCUAUCUGAGUAGGAUGUACUAGAUUUCAUCAGAAUCAGAUAAAUAAAAUUUCUUUGUUCUGAAAAGAAAAACACCAAUCAAUAAAAUCCUAAACCCUGAAAAAUACUUGCAUUCUUCGCAUCAGAUUUGGGUAGCCUUUCAGUCCUUUCCUUCUGUUUCAGCUAUUGAUUUCAUCGGCUUGGCUCCAACAAAUAAAUAGUUGAGGCUAUCUUCAAUGUCAAACAAUCCAUACUCAAUAUACUCAUAAGCAUGCUUACCAAGAACAUCCUGAAAUCUCCCAAUGAAGUUCCCAUAUGCAGGCAACAAAAUAUCGUUCACAGAUAUCCUUAUUUCUUCCCUGAGCUGCUCAUCAAUGACAGACCAUGUAGACUGAACUCUGCAUAUCUCCUCGAAGUGCAUGUUGAACAAAUUGAGCUUGUCUUUCAUUAAAUCUGCUGCAACAUUGGGUGCCUCUGAUUCAUUGCUUUCAACCUUCAAAAUGUCCAGCAUCUUAUUCCAUGAGCUUCCUCGAUAUUGUUCAAGAUUUUUUUGGACUUUUGCUCUGUUAUUUUGGAACAAAUCAUGGCCAUACAUGGUUCCUAGUGCCACUUCUAUGAGCCUCCAAUUAUUCAUCAUGAAGAAGUAGGGUAAAGCAGGGUCCUUGUAGUUUUCGGAUUUCUCUACCAGUGUUUUCUCUAGCAGCUUCAAUGUCCGCUUCAUCUGCGUCAUGAAGGAAGAUGUUUCAGCUCCUGUAGCUACCUUGGGGUAUUGUUGUAGAAUUUGCUCCAGGAUCUGUUGUGACCUGUAAGCAGAAUUAAGGUAGGCCACGAUGUUGUUCAUCAUGGGAUGAUGCCCACCAUUGGGCGGUGCAAGUAGCUUGACCUCUGGAAUAUCGAAAACCAGAAUCUCAAAUUCCAUGAAAAGGUCCCGGCUUGCUUCUCCUAAUCUGUUUUGGACUGCUAUUGCUUCAUUCACCAACGGAUUAGGAAACAAUAAGGAUUGGAACUCUGGAAUCAGAGCAUUUAAUGUCAUAAACAUGUCAAGGAUUUUGAACAAACGAUAUGCCGAAGGACUUCCGUCUGCAACUGCAGCAGCAAAAUUCAGCAUCUGAAUCAUGGGCCCUUGACAAACUUGUGUGAAACAACUAUCAGCAGCAGAGGAGAACCCUGAGAAGAUACGAUUGCAGAGUCGCCAUUCACGAAAUAGUAUCAAUAGAGCAACCUGGGAAGCUUCAAUCCAUCUCUCAACCCUUUUAUCCAAACAUGUCUUCUUUUCAUGUUCAUUCUCUAUCUCAUUCUCUUGCAACUCUAAUAAUUUAUUUAUCAAGCACUCUUCCAACCAUCUCCUUCGCCAACUACUGUACACCUUGGAGCAUUCUUCCUCAAACCCUGAGGCCACCAUCAGUUUCACUGUUUUGUGGAGGCUGUUGAUACGUUCCGAUGGCAGUGCAUCGAUCACGAAGUUAAUGUCGGUCCUAAGUAGCAUAGACUUAUCGUCGACGUGUUCCUUUGGCAUCAAAAGUAUGUUGGUGAGUUUACAAUCGUGCUGCUGAAGCCCCUUCAUACAAUUUGAGAGUUGUUGCAUCAUGCCAGCAAUAUCAGUACUGACCAAUUGUGGUGAAUCGACUUCAAUGACUUCAGAAUGUUCAUUUUCAGGUGCACCAUCUGUGUAAAAGAAGAGAGAAUGAAGAAGGAAUAUAUAAACAUGCUCCAACAAUAAGUAACUUUUAUUUAAUUUAUAAACAUGCUCCAACAAUAAGUUGAUCUUCAAAUCUGCUGAGUAAGAAUUGCUUUCACAGACAUAUACCGUUUUUAAGAUGUAAUUAUGAACAAAGUUGCUUAUUUUACUCAAAAUAAAAUUUUAUCACAGAAUAACACAAAGUAGUUUAGUUUUCCUAUAAAAUAUUGUAUAUAAGUUUGCAAUACAUAUUUUUUAUCUGAAGCAUUUACAUUUUAUAAGUAGAACUUCUAAACUAGUUAAAACAUGUACGGAUUUCAAUCGACCUCAAUUAUAAGAAAAUGCCAAUAAAGUUAUUUUGUGUGUGGUGGCUAACACAAAAAUCACUCUGAUAUUUAUCACCAAAUGCUUGCAUCCAUGCGCGCAACCUUUUUGUUUUUCAGGCCAAAACAAUGAGAUAUAACAAUUUACCGUAUGCAUGAAACUACGUUGUUACUUUGCUAAAGAAUGAUGUCUGUAAAUUAAUAGAAAAUUUUAGGUAAAUGGAUUUAUUAAAAUUAGGGAGGUUCAACCCAAAAGCUAGCUAAAGAGUUGAGGGUUGCUCUAAACUUUAGAGCUAGGCAUCUGGAGCUUGAAAUGAACAUCAACUGGUGGUCCAAAUAUGGGAGGUCUCCACAAUAAAUAAGAAUUUGGGAGACCUAACUCAACACAAAUAUCUCUAGCCAAUGCAGGACUUCUAACGGGAUUCAAGAUAAAAUUAACUGCUACAUUGUUAAGCUUUUCUUCUAACCUGGUUCCCAUUUAUCUUCAGCAAAUGGAACAAAAGAUGCAACACUGCUGACAUUGCUACAACUAGAGGUGAACAUAGCAUCAACCAUAUCUGCUAUCGGAUAAUCAGUACUAUAUUCUGAAGUAGAGGGCCCAACACCGCCACCAGUGCUACCAGAACCGCUAAGCUGCUGGACAAGGUUCUUGAAAGAUUGCCCUGAAACUGAAGAUGAUGAUGGAGAAAACUGGAGGGACAUGGUGGGUUGAGUCAUGUAUUUUGAGAUAUCCACUUGUUGUGAUGGUAGAAGCAACGAUGGUUCUGCUAAGGACAUGUAGCAGGUAUGUUCAUUUCGGUAUGUUACUUCAUAUAUUUCCGGAGUGUCAUCAAGUCGUUGUACUCGCUUCUUGGCUAGGCACUUCUGACGGGUGCACCGGUAGUAAUUUCUGGAAAGGAAGAAACAUUUCAAACCAUGAAAGGAAAUAUAUAAUUGAAAAUGGGCUAUUAGUCUUCUGCUAUCAAUUUGUCAUUAAGUAGUCAAUUUAAUGUGAAGGGGCACCAAUAUAUUCAUAACGUGAGCAUGAAUUUGACAUUUCUGAGACUUGUUACAGAUUUUUAGAUUUGGAAUGUGCAAAUUUAAUACAAAGGUCACUUUGAAUUGAGACUCUUAAAUUCUACAUGCUACUACCUUAUGAUUGUUGGAAUAUUUUGUGGACGGCUGUUAUUACUUAUUAGUGGUGUUUCAAUUUAUGUUACCAAGACAGUGUUUCAGUUUAUGUUUCAAUUAGUAAUAUACCUGGGGUACUUGGAGGCAUGUAUUACUUUCUGGCCAUAUUUUCUCCAAGUAAAACCAUCUUCGGGUGGCAUCCCUAGGUCUCCAACCUGUGGUGCGGGAAACCUCACUGUUCUUUCCGGAGCAUUCUUCGUUCUGCUAAUUAAUGUGGUCAGUGUCGAAGAAUUUACUAUUCUUUAAUAGAAUUGUAUUAAGCAUCGGGGUUGUAGUAAGAUCUACAAAAUGAUAUGAUUUAAGAGCAGUGUAAUUAACAGGAAGUAUUCAACGGAACUUGAAUCGUGAGGAUGUGUUAAUCAUUAGCACCUAUUGAGAGGCUGUUACCUGCCAGGCAAAUCCUGCACUGAAGUUGCAGCACUUUGCUUUGUCAUGGUUCUUCGAAAUUGCAAAAGGUAUUGUCGAACUUUAGUAGUAUGCUUUUGUAUCCAAUCAUCCCCCAAAAGCGUUCCCAAUUCACUAUCUUUGGCCUUCUGAACUAUAUAAUCACCGUUAUUCAUCAAGAAAACAAAGCCUACAGCAGGGUCUUUGUAGAACGUGGACUUUGCUUCUAGAUUGCUCUCUAAUAGCUCUAUAAUCCAAUGCAUCUGCGCGGAGAGUGAGUAGUUUUCAAAUACCUUUUCUAGGGUCUGCCAGGACCGGCAAGUUUCUUGGAGGUAGUACAUCACGUAGCGGGUAAAUGGAUGAACUGCGCCACCGGGAGCAGCUUCCUUUGCUGGAUCACGCCAGACCAAACUCUCCAACACAUUGAGAAUGCCCCUGAUUGCUUCUCCCAAUCUCUUCCAAAUCGUGAUUGCUUUGUUCCUGAGUGACAAACUGUACUGAUCACAAAACAAAGACUCGUACUCAGGAAUCAGUUCAGUCAACGUCUCGAACACCUCUAGGAUUCUUGACAACCGCUGCAGUGAGCGUUUACCGAUGGCGACAACAUCAGCAAAAUUUAGUAGCUGAAUGACCGAUCCCCUGCAAACUUCUGUGAAGGAGAAAUCGGCAGCAGAUGAGAAUCCCAAUAAGAUACGGUCACAAAGUUGCCGCUCGUUGGGGAACAGUAUCUUGAGAGCUACGUUGGAUGCCUUAACCCAUCUUCCAAAUCCAGUCUCGUCUUUGAGGUCCUGCCAUGCCAUCUUGUGAGUGUCCCCCAAUAGAUUCUUCAACCAUUCCUCCCGCCAGCUGCUGUACACGGCGAAGAACACCUUCUCAAAUCCCGCUUCCACCAUCAACUUGGCAGUUUUGUGAAAUUUAUUCAAAGUCUCUGAUGGCAGUGCAUCGAUGAUGAAGUUGUGGUCCGUCGCCACCAGUUCAGAGUUAUGUUCAAGGUAUUCCUUCACCCGCUCCAAAAGCAAUUUCCGGAGAUUUGAAUCAUGUUGUUGAAGGUCCUUCAAAUGAGUAGAGAGCUGCUGCGUGACACUAGCAAUAUCAGUACGGGCAAGAUGUUGUGAAUCGACUAAAAUGUCUAUGGAAGGCUCUUCUUGAGGUGCAGGAAUGUGAUCAAUUUUGGGUAAUCCGUCAAUGGAAGAAAAGGAAGAACGAAGGACAAUAAGUGAAUAGCUGAACCCUGCUCCAACAAUAACUAACACCAAUUUAGUUUUCAUGAGUUGUACCAUUAGACAUCCCAGAAAGAAAUACAGAAGAUCAACUUCGAAACCGCACUGGAUUUGCCUUGAUAUGCUGAGUGACAUGAUAGCAAAAGCAGCACAUGAAAUCAGGCUGUAUACAUCUGGUUUCCCAUUCAUCACUUUAUCAGAGAUAAAUGAAUAGAGUGAGGUGAUGGUCAAGACCAAAAAUGCCAAGUGAGCUUUGAACUGCAGACUUCUAGAAUGUCUCCAUUUCUUUGCAAACAACAUCAUGAGGGACAUGAUAACGCUGAAAACACUAUAAAGAGAUAUCUUAAAGAAAGUCCAAUCUCCAAAUAGAUGGUUGAAGGAAGAGCUCAGAGCAUUACAGAGCAGUCCAACAACAGCUGAAGCAAAACUCACAAAUCUCCAAACAUUUGGCUGCAUCAGCCAACUCAGAAUCUGGAUUAGCCAGCGUGUCAUGUUCUCUUUGAACUGAGCAAGAAUUGGUUUCACACUGAAUUAUACAAAGGCCAACCAUUUUAUAGAUUUGGAUGAGAAACUUUCCUCAACUUUCAAAUGAAUUUUCGAAGAAAGGGCCAAGAGCUAUUCAAUGAAAUUUCGAAGAAACUAUCCAACACCCAUGUAUUUAAUCACCCAAAAGAGAUGGAAAUUCUUCGGUCUCUAAUUUCUGUCCCUGCCCGGUCCCUCCAGUGAUAGUUUCUUUACCCGUCUGUUGUGGACCAUACUUGCUGUCAAGUGCAUUGAGCCAUUGACAAAAAAUUGUGGAAAAAGUUUAGUUUACAGUACAUUUACACCCACACUUACACAUUGUUUGGUAUAAUUGAUUUUGGAAAUGGAGGGUUAGAGAGGAGAGACUUACACUUUGUUUGGUAUAAGACUAUAAUGCUUUGUUUGUUAGGAGAGAGAUAGAAGAGAGAGAGAUGCAAGAGAGAGAGAUAGGAGAGAGAUGGGGGAAGCAUCCUUGUUUGGUGGGAGAGAGGAGGGAGGGAGGAGGGGGUUGUAGAGGUGGGGACCACCCCUUUUUGGAGUCUCUCCAAUUUGGAGAGAAAUUGAACAGUAACCGUGGGCUGCAUUUUUUUAUUUUUUUUUCUACUUUUAGCCAACUUAGUGGCGGUUUUUAACCCCCACUUUGUUACUUUUUUUCAAAAAAAUAUUAUUUUAAUCUAAAGUUAAUCUUUUCUCUCUCUUCCACCUCAUUAUUUCUCAUCUCUCUCUCCUGUAUCACUAUCAUACCAAACAACCUCUUAAAUCCACUCUAUUUCUCACAUAUUUCUCUCUACUCAAUCUCUCUCUUCUCUACUCUCUCUUCUCUAUCUCUCUCUACCCUACCAAACAUAGUGUAAGAGAGAGUUAGAGAAGAGAGAUUGAGAGAAGAGAGAGUUAGAGGAGAGAUGGUGAAAUCAUCCUUGUUUGGUGGAGGAGAGAUUCAGGUGAGAGAGAGAUAGAGGGGGCCAAAUUUUAACUUUUUGUUCUCUUCGCAAUUUGCGACGAGAAACAUUCAUGCCCCCUUUUUUUUCUCCUAUUAUGUGCAAUUACUAUAUUUUACAUAUUGCUGUUCUGUGCAGUUAGUGGUUUAGAACCGACACUAUCUCCAUUGACACAUUUUUUGUAAAAAAAUGUUUUUUUAAUCAAAAGUAAUUUUUUCUCUUUCUUCCACCUCAUUAUUUCUAAUUUCUUUCUCCUUUAUUUUUAUCAUACCAAACAACCUCUAAAUAUAUUCGAUUUUUCACAUAUUUCUCUCUACUCAACUUCUCUCUUCUCUAUCUUUCUACUCUACCAAACAAAGUGUUAGAACGGAGAGAAAGACCUAACCUUAUUUGGUAGGGAAGAGUGAGAGAGUAAAGAGAUAAGAACAUGUGGGACCCAUGAUCUUUUUGUGGUCUCACCGAUUUGAAGAGAAAGAAAGAAGAGGUGGCUUAUAGGGUGCAAGUGCAUCCUAAGUCUUGCACCACAUAAGAUCUAUUUUAACCUGUUGUAACUAACAUGUAAUAGGAAUCUAAUGAAAAAUAAAUAAAAAUAUUAUAUUAGAAAACUACCCUCCAUUGCUCUUCCCUCUCCUUUCUCUUUGGGUGCCGACGCACCUCCACCUCGCUCCUUUCUUUCAACGGAACUCGAGCAACCUCCAUGGCCACCUCCAUCGAAACCCAGGUCCCAAUCAAAACACAUCGCCCAAACCACCAUCCAAACCACAUCAACCUUCCAUCACAGACAAAUUGAAGCAUCCCAAUUCCCAACCUGUCACCAAACAAAGAAUUAGCUCCACAUUGAAGAACAACAACACGCCUCCCCCUUCCAGACGAAAAGUUUCCACGAUUCACAGAAACUAACAUCACCAAUCACAUAGAAUAAAAUCAAAGCAUAAACGAUUGCACAAAUUCACAGAAACCUUGUUGAAAAAAUAGUUGUCGAUAAAAGAGCCGCAAAGGGAGGUUUCUUACACAAGUUCACAGAAUUCAAAGAAACCAUGAAGGAGGACCACAUACAUCACAGGAAAAUUCGAAGUGGAGUGUAAUGUGAUGCUAAGAAAUUAGAGGAUUCGAGAAAGAGGGCUUGUAGAUUUGAUGCCCCAAAUCUUGUGUUUGCACAAAUCUGGGUUUUUUUUUUUUUUUAUGUUCAAUUAGUUGUGCCUUUUUCUGAUGUUUUCUAAAAAAUAUGGGUUUCAAGGAUCCGAACGCAGAUUUGGGUUUUCAUGUGUGGCGACUGCGGCGGUUGCUGGUGCUUUCAGUGGAAAAGAGGAGCGACGGUGGAGGAAGAAUGUGGAGGAGGGGAGGAUGUCGGAAACCAGAAGAGGAGAGAGAGGAUAGCAUAGGAGUAUUUGGGAGGGGUCAGGGCAUAACAGUCAAAGUGAAAUAAAAUUAAAAAAAAUUAACAAAUAGAAUGUUACAGUUUCACCAAGUUACAUAUAUGGUAUCUAUAUGGAAUAUUUCAUUCUUGUGGCUAAAUCAUCAUGCACAUGACUUCAUCACUAUUGCACCUUAUAACUUAUAACUCACCUAAAGAAGAGAAUGUGUAAUUUCACUUUCUCAAUUAUUAUAUUCAUUUAUAAAUAUUUAUAAUUUAAGAGAAAUAUGUUAUUUCAUAUAAAGGUAAUUUUCUCUCUUUCCAUUCUCUACCCAACCAAACUAAAAAGAGAAGAGACACCUCAUUCUUUCUCUUCUCUUUCUUUCAUACCAAACAACCUACUUGGCUGAUUGAUUAUUUGGAAUCAAUGGGUCAUAAGAUGGCGUUGCUAAUAACGACACCAAUGAGUGGCACCUAAUUAUGGAAAUAUUUUUGAGAUUUUGUGUCACUGAUGUGAAAGGAACGAGUGGAAAAACUCCGCUAGAAGAGAUGAAUGGGGACUUAUGAAACAAUACAUUCGGGUGGGGUUUAAAUCUUAGGCAAAGUUAUGGGAAGAUAAACUAUUGUUGGGAUAUUUUUGAAGCUUUUGUUGUCAUCGCAUUUUUAUUGCUACUUCUUUACUUCUUAAUUUUAGUUGUUCUACUUCAGGAGUGAAGAUUUUCUAUCCUUAAAUGAUGUUCCAAUUUUGUGUCUCACCAAUGAAAUCUUAUCAUGUCAAUUUUUCAUGUCAAUUAAAAUUGACAUGAGUGAGUUAGUUACAAACUAAUAUGUGUUUUUUUUAAUUGACAUAUUAAAAUUUUAUUUGUAGAACAGAGAAUGAGACAUAGUUUAGGGACAUAAGAUUUCAAUUCUUUAGACCUCUGUCGGGUCUACAAAGAGAGCUCUUGGUGGAGUAUUGGUUAAUUCACAAAACGUGUGUGUCUCUUCAUUUUUCAAGGUCUUUAUGCACCACAAGUCCGGGCAUGGGAGAGAUUUCUGAUGAGGAAUAUGAUGGUUUAGCUCAUCUCCUUCUCCAACUUCUGUCACAAUGAUCUUGGAGUUCUCAUUCUCACACUUGGAUAUAGAAGCCAUGUUGUGCACAAAUUGGCACAAGUCCCUCACCAGCUUCCCUGAGAGUGGCCCUUCAUGGUACACCCCAUAUAUGAAGUAGAACCCAAAUGGAUUGAAGAAAUCAGGCAAGGUUGGAAAUUUCAAGCAUGGUAAGAUUUUACCAAUCAAGUUCCAACUCUUUAUGAAUAACAAGCAAGACAAAGGUGCUUUCCCUAUCCUUAGGUUGUAGAUUUCACCACUGUUCCACACACUAAGCAUAGCCCAACUAUGAGGCACUUUUCCAUCUGACUCACACCAGCCACUAUCUUCUUUAAAAUAAGCCACCCAUGUCCCCAAGCUUAGCUUGUUCCUUAGUAUAUUUUCUAUGUCAAUAGGGAAGAACUCAGUGGAGCCCAUGAAUCUUCUAUAGAGGGAUUCAGCCUUUUCAAUCUUGAGCCUAGCUAUCUCAAUGUUGGGUGAGAUUUGAACUGAGUGAUGAUUCACUGGGUUUACUAGCACAGCCAGAGUCCUGAACUUAGUGUAGCCAAACUUUCCCAUGAAGAAACUCACUGAGGCAUGGUCAUCUUUCUCUGUGGCCACAUAUGUAUAGUCUACAUCAUUGGAAAUGAACCAUUCUUCUAGCCUUUGCACUAGGUUGGAGCCAAUUCCCUUUCUCUGAGAAUGGGGUGCAACCCUUAGGCCUAGGACAUAGCCUACCUUGGCCAAAUCAUGUGGAGCAUGACCAUGAAUUGUGAGCACUUUUAUUGAGCCUUGAAUGACACCAACCAAUUCAUUGUCCUGAUCCUCUGCUACCUAAAACCAAAUUGACCAAUAACGGGUAUAUAAGACAAUCAAAGAACAAGCCCAAGACAAGGAAGAUUAAAAGCUCAUCUGGAUACAGUUUAUUGGAAUUUAUGUACUAAAUAUUGCAUUAUAUAAGCUCGAAUAUGUGCUCCUUAGUUUGCAUCCUAAUAUAUACUAAGUGCUUGUAUAUAAAUCUUUCUACAAUUGAUUCCAAAGCUAAAAUCAAUGUUGGCAAGAAGCAUCAGGUGUUCAAAUUGAUUCUGAGAAAAUUGAAGCUAAUUCAAACAUGGUAUAUGAAGACUUAGCAAGUAUAGUUAUGAAUAUUGGUAUGGUAAGAUCAUAGUAUAGUGAGUGUACCAGCAUCAUGUACAUAGAACUGUUUCGAAUCCUACAGAUUGGGUCACCCAUAGUGUCUAACACACUUUCUGAUGGCCCUACCUUGCAUCUUCUCUCAAGGUCUUCCACUCGAGACUUAUCAGAUUGACCCUCAUAGCUUCAAAUUAUGAACUCUUUGAAUGCCAUAAUCUAGAAGAGAUGAUGAUCUUAUUGAAGGAGCUGCUUGACUUGUGCGUGAAGCAAAUGAAAGAAAAGAAAAAGAAAGGAAGCUUUCAAAGCUAAAUAAGGUAUGUACACCAUGUGACAAAAAUAGUUCAACCAACUAGAAGUUAUGGUACAAGUACUAUAACAAGAAUGGUUUGGCAAAGACUACAUGAUGAUAAUCAUUUAUAAGCAGGGGAUGUAUGGAAAAAGAGAAGGGGAUAGAGAGAGAUAAUAUAAAUUGAAAGAGAGGAAUCUAGGUAGGAAAGUGCGAAUGUUUAUCAUAAUUUAAUAACAUAGUAGUAGACAAAUUCAGAUUAAUAAUAGAAUGUACUUUUUUUUGUCUUCAGCAUUUUGGUGCCCAUUACUUGCAUGUAGCAUAAUCUUUUUUAUAUAUAUGUCAACCUAUCAAGAAAGACGAACAUAGUGAAACAUAUUGAUAAGGUGCACGCCUAAGGACGUGUGUUUUUUGUGGAGAAAGAAAAAGAAUUCCGUUUUUGUCCAAUCCAGAUUUGUUUAGUGAACAUUGAAUCAUUCAUAUUUUAUUUUCUCUUUCAUCUCAUUCAUAUAUAUCUCAUUUUCUUUUUUCUAUCUAUCUCUUAUAAUGCAGGUGUCACAGAGAAUGGAGCUCAUGUGCCACAGUCAUUGCUUCUUGAAGGUCAGAGUUGGCUCUUUCAAGUAACCCCUGCCUCUAGUGGUUUGUAGUGUGUGGGCGGCAAGAUUCGGCGUUGGAGAGUACAUGAAGCGUUAAUGUGGGUUAAUUUCAAAAAAAUUCAUAUUGAGAGUAUUAGGGUUAUUUGACAUUUUAAACUGGAUCCUUUAAUUUUUUUAGUAUUAUAUUCAGUGACGGAUCCAGAAAUUUUAUGUAGUGAGAGCAAAAUAUACAUAUAAAUUCGUAAGAGAAAAAAAUUAACAUAUACUGUUAGAAGUGAGAACAUUUUUUACCAAAAAAGACACGAGUGAAAACAUUUUUUACUAAAGGGGCCACCAAAAACCACAUAUUUUUACUACCCAAGUGAGAGCAUUUAACAAUGUGGGGCACAAGUGAGGACAUUUAGCAAUAUGAGACAAAAGUGAGGGCAAUUUUUAUCAAAGAAAUCAUAAAAACUCACAUACUUUUACUACUCAAUUUUUUUUUUCUGAUUUUUUUUUUCAUAUUCAAGUGAGGGCACUUGCCCUCAUACUUGUCUACUUAGAUCCGUCACUGAUUAUAUCCAACAGAUAAAAUGACUGGUGUACGAAUAGACCAACUAAUUAGGUGGUGCACGCCAUAAUCAUACAUGAAUCAAAUCCCUAUCCAUGUAUUUAAUUAUAUUUAAUUGAUAUGAUAGAAAAAUCAAUACAAAAUUUCUAACUUAUAAUGUGUUCCGUUAUAGAACAGGGGUCGUAAGCUCAAACAUCAAAUCCAAGCUUAGAGAUGAUGAAUAGUGCUAGUGUGAAGUUGGUGUAGAGUGAAGAAGAUGUCUUUCCCAUAACUUUUUGGUCCCUCUUAUAAGCUCUUUCCAGCCUCUUAGGCUGCUAGAGGUUGCUGGAGGUUUCUCCCCUGCAUCAUUGUGUGUAUUGCCUUACAAAUGUGAUGGUUGUGGCUCUCAUGACUUGGGGUUAUUGACGAUUAUUUAUUUCUAGAGUCAUAAUGCGGAACAUACUAGGGGCAACCAUCAAAUGUUUUAGGAAAGGGUGUCUCGGAUAUUCUGCUGAGCAGGGAGAUCAUAGCCCUCCAAGCCCUUAAACGCGCGGGCUUUAAGGUCCAAAAAUCACUCGGAUAUCAUAAUGCAUAUGAAAUUAUAACUUGAACAUAUUUUAAUUCUGGUUUGAACUCCAACUUCUACUUCGAGUUUAAGGUAUGAAUUUCAAGAACUUUAAACUACAAUACAGAUUUAACGGCUCGGGUUUUGUAGGAAAAGAGAUUUAAAUAGAGUGGAUAUAAAUUUUUAUUAGAGCAAGGGAAUAUUCUCAUCCGAUUAAUUAAAAAACUACAAUAUGUUGUGUGGUUGUGGCCCCUCUCAUUAGACAUGAGAUUCGAAAGUGAAAGUUAAAUCGCACUAACAAAGCAAUCCUCUAAUUAUAAAUUUAAUAAGAGUGCCUUAAAUUCCAAGGGUAAACUGCUACCACAAACUAAAUUUAGUUGGAAGCAUUGCAAACAUCAAAAGAGUAGUUGUACGUAAAUGUAAAAUGGCCUCUCUUAUUAAAACUUAAGGGUCCUUAAUUGAUAAAAAAAUGGUCUUUAUAUCUUCACAGAAAAACAUUACUCACUUUGUCCCAAUUUAUAUGUCAUAUUUACCAAGUUUUUCAGUUUGAUUGUAAUGUUGAGGAAGAUAUAAAAAUCUUGUAACAGAACCAAAGCCACCUCUGCCAAUUUUAUUUGCAGCAUCAAUUUGAUUUAUGCUUCCCAUGCUUUGAUUUGUAUUUUUCUUGAUUUAUGACAUUUUUCUUUAGUUUGAAAGCAAGGCAUAGCAUUUGCUUUGUUAAUGCCACAAAAGGAGUUUUCUUCAUUUCCUUUGUGUCAUUGAGUCUUGCUUGCUUUAAUUGAACGGCUUGUGUUUGAGAUGAAGAUGUUUUAGUUUGAUUGUGAAUUUGGCAUGCUUUACCAUGUUGUAUGCUUGCUGGAUUCUGAGGAAUAUUGUUGAUUUAAUUGAUUUCUCUGUUAUGUAUAUAACAUGAACUGCUCAACAACUUGCUUGAUGUAAAUUAUAUGAGAAUCUAUUUGUUAUUAAUAUUGAUUUGAUGAAUUCUUAAGUAUAUUUAAUUUGACUUAUGCUUGUUGAAUUUUGGAAUAACAUGUGAUUAUCCUGACUUGAUUAUUGGAUUGAAAUUGUUGACUAACCUUGGCAUAUAGGGCUUGAACUUAAAGUAGCAAUGAGGUGAUGUUGUCCCACGUGAUUGUCUCGUCUUUUGAGAUGUUAUAAAGUGGGAAUGAGGUGGUGUUGUCCCACGUGAUUGUCUCGUCUUUCGAGAGUUAUAAAGUGGCGAUGAGGUGAUGUUGUCCCACGUGAUUGCCAUGUCUUAAAGACGUUCUUGAUCGACCCAUCUUAGUAGUGACGUACAGUCGCACUACAGGGCACUUAUAUUGAACUUGAUUGAUAUUUGGUUUGAUUUCAUGUUGUCGGAUAUGUGUUUUCAUCUAUCUUGAAUUAAAUUGGUAGCUUAUUUACCAUGUCAUGUAUUAAAUUCGAAAAACAUGUUUUUCUUUCUUAUGUGAAGUAAUUGUAUGUACUUAACCAUUUUUGUUAGCUACUUGUUGUUUGGGUGCUUAAUGCUUUUAGGAGUUGGAGAACCUUCGACGAAGCUUAACCUGUAAGACCCCGAAAUAAAUAACUAGUUAAUUUAUCUAUUUUUGUUGUAUUAAAUGAUUGAGUGUUUAUAUUCUAUGUUAUUUUCCUGACUCGAACCCUAUUGCGAGUCAUGAAUAUUAUGUAUAUGAUAAUUAGAUUCACAGUAUGUUUAAGGAUGACACUAUAGUCAUUUUGUGUUAGAAGUCACACAUUGACUAAAGAUGUGGCCAAACAAUUGCUUACAUAUGGUUGUGCAAACCUUAACUCUUGAGCUAGCUUUUGGGUUGAGUUAGGCCUCCUUCAUUUUGUUUGAUAGCACGAGUCAUAUUCGCACCCGACUAAGGUCGAGAGUGUCCGAAAAAGGCUAUAUCCGCUCCUAGAGCACUGUAUAAGCGAAAUUCAAAAUAUUCAUAAGAAUAUAAGAAUUUAUCUUUAUCCUUUCCAUGACAAGUGUUUCGACAUGAAACCCUGGACUGUACGAAUGAUUGAUUUCAAUUCUCGGAGGUUUGCCGAAACCGAGUUCUUGAUAACUCAAAAACCUUGAAACGAACUGUAGAUGAAGACUUUUUCUAUUCGGAGCUUCAAAAGAAGAUUCCACACACGUACACCCAUUUCUUUCGAUGUUUCCAAUCUUUCUUCAGAAGGAAGUUUUCUCAUCCGACAUCGACUGCAAAAAGUAACUUUUCGGGUUAAAUCGAUUAACACCGUUAGUGAAUCAUUUGCUUAAAUUCCAUGAAACCUGUUUCGAGUUCUGGAAUUCUGUCGUCGGAUUCUCUUAUAUAAUUCACAGAGGAAUGCGCAGGAAAAAUCGGAAUCACGAAAUAUUCAUUUUCCCGCGUUUUCCAUUUCCUAUAAAUAGAGAAAAAAAAACUCAAAAUCUCACCACCAACACCAUUAGAGGCCGCGAGCUCCAAGGAGGAAGGGGGAGAAGAGAAUUUUGUCGUUUCUUGCCCGAUCGUCGCACAGUCAGUUGCUAUACGUAUGACUCGAGGUACUGAUGUUAUUCCUUACCUCUGAUCGUAAAUUCUGUCGUUUUUCUCUAUGUCUUUCUGUGCUCAAAGUUUUGAGCUUUUUGUAAAAGUGUCCAAAUAACUUGAUUUCUCUGUCAAAACAUAUUCCCUACAUGCCCGAGAGCAUGAAUAUCCAGUUGCUUUUCGCUGAAUCUCGCCGAAUCGUCACAGAGCUUCAUUUUUCUGGAAAUACCCAUUUUCAUGUAAAAGCUUCGCUUUUUGGUUCGAAAACUCUCGACUGAGCUUUGCGCCAGUAGGAUUAGUUGUUAUAAAUGUCGUUAGGAUCAAGCUCAUCAAAUUUAUUUUUCAGAAUUUCAAUUUUGAAUUUCUGAGCUAAAAACACUGACCAAAAUACCCUUGUUCUUGUUUUCGACCCGAUAAUUUUUCUGAGAGUUUCCCUGGCCUAGAUAUCGCCUAAGAAUACCUUGGAAUUAAAUUAGAUCGAAGAAAAAGUUCGGGAAACCCUAUUUUUUGGAAGUGGCCGAAACUUGUAGGAAUUGGACCGUGUACAAAAAUAAUUUUUGGGUCUGUAUGGUCUGAGCUAUAGUGUAGCUCUUUCGAUUGUCAAAAUUUUGGCUUCGGUUUCGUGUCAUUCCGAGUUGUGUAGCUCGAGUUACGCACAUUUUAGCGAACAAAGGUCAUGUUGUCUAUUCGUGCCUAAAAGUCGAACUCCGAAGCUUCGAAAGCUUCUUUUCCGGUUUUGAUUAGUGUCAUUAGUUUAUAUUGUUUCUUAGUGACUAAGAGUCGAUAUUUUGCUUAAGGUUUGGAACGAGUUGAGCUGAGGAAAGAGUUUUUGGAGCCAGUCGUGAGGUUUCACGACGGAGGAGGACGCUCCAGAGGACUUGCUGAGUUCGGGAGCUUUAUUUGGAUUGAACUGCGAUGUUGAGCUAGGAUGGAGAAAUAAAAAGGUAAGGGUAACUCAGUUUUAGCGCGUCUUUGAGUCUUGCCUGCUUUUAUCGCACUGCAUGCGUUUGAGAUGAAGUUUUUUAAAUUUGAUUUUGAUUAUUGUGCUGAACUCAGAAAAUGUUUUCUGGAGGCUUCGGCCAAGUGAACUUAUUGAGACGUGUGUCUCCGUUUUCUGAGAGGCUUCGGUCGUUUACUGGUUUCUGUCAUUAUUGCUUUCUUGUGGAUGUUUUGAUUGUUGUCGUGCUUGAUGUUGGGAUGGAUCACAUACUAAGUAUGUGCUAAGUAGCUAUAUGUUGUGUUGAUAUUUGUGCAUAUGCGUUGUUGGGUUGUACUGUGUGGCCUUCGUGGCGUACUGUGUGGCCUUAGUGGCGUAUUGAGUGGCCUUCAUGGCAUAUUAAGUGACAGAUCAAUGGGUUUCGUACCAGGUGACCGUCCCGUCCUGCGAGACGCUUUUGAUUUGACAUGUCUUGGUAGUAACACCUAGUUGUACUACAGGGCACUUAUACUGGUUUGGUUGAUACCUGGUUCGAUGUUAUAUUGUUGAGGUUGUUGAUAUCUGACUCGAUGUUAUAUUGUUGAGGUUGUUGAUAUCUGAAUUGAUGUUAUAUUGUUGGGGUUAUUGUUAUCUUAUUUAAAUCCGUUAUUAUGUUGUCGAUAUCUGAUUAAAUCUAUGUUGUUGAUGUCUGAUUUGAUUUUAUGUUGUUGGAUAUAUGUCGUCAUCUAUCUGGAAUUAUGUUGCUAGCUUAUGUGCCAUGUUAUGCACUUAAACUUUAAUAGCAUGCCUUUCCCUUUUAUACGUGGUAAUUGCAUGGAGUUAACCCUUUCUAUUUGCUACUUGUUGUUUGGGCGCUUAACGCUAUUAGGCGAUGGUCAACCCUCGAUGAAGUUUGACCUUUGUACGAGUCAGAGAUGAGGACUUGAAGAUUUGUGAAAGACUUGAAGAGUAGAGUCGGGUUUAAGGCUAGAGCCUUAGGUUAGAGAGCUUACCGUUAUUGGUUUAAGCUUACCUAAUGAUUUUUAGGAAUUUAUAUUUGAGUUUCCGGGUAGGUUCCGAUGCUUUUCUUUCCUGGGGUUCCCUGAUGUGGAGAUCGUAGGGAGUAAGUCGGAUUUAUGCAUAAUAGGUUCUUUGUUGAGUUGUUUCUAUUGGUUAGGUUUUGUAGUUGAAAGUAUGCAUGACAUGUUUUAGAAACACUUUGAAGAAAAAAAAAAUUAUACUCAUAUUUAUAAAUCCUUUUGGAAAACAUUGCAUAUUUAUUUUAUCAGGUUGUUACCGUAACCCCUGAAAUUCGGGGCGUUACAUAACCUGUGUAUGAGUCGGAGAUGAGAACUUGAAGAACAGUGCACGAAGAGUAGAGUCAGGUGUAAGGCUAGAGCCUUGGGAUAGAGAGCUUACCAUUAUUGGUUAAAGCUUGUAUAAUGAUUUCUUGAAUUUAUAUUUGAGGUUUUGGGUAGGUUCCGGUACAUUGCUUUCCUGGAGCUCCCCGAUGUGGAAACCUGUGUAUGAGUCGGAGAUGAGAACUUGAAGAACAGUGCACGAAGAGUAGAGUCAGGUGUAAGGCUAGAGCCUUGGGAUAGAGAGCUUACCAUUAUUGAUUAAAGCUUGCAUAAUGAUUUCUAGAAUUUAUAUUUGAGGUUUUGGGUAGGUUCCGGUACAUUGCUUUCCUGGAGCUCCCCGAUGUGGAAACCUGUGUAUGAGUCGGAGAUGAGAACUUGAAGAACAGUGCACGAAGAGUAGAGUCAGGUGUAAGGCUAGAGCCUUGGGAUAGAGAGCUUACCAUUAUUGGUUAAAGCUUGCAUAAUGAUUUCUUGAAUUUAUAUUUGAGGUUUUGGGUAGGUUCCGGUACAUUGCUUUCCUGGAGCUCCCCGAUGUGGAAAUCGUAGGGAGUAUAUCGGAUUUAUAGUGUCAUUGUAUAAUAGCUUCUUUGUUGAAUAUGACUCUAAUUUUUAGGUUUUGCAUGUUGUAUUCUUUCGUCCCUACCUUUGGGUACUAGCCUUGUUCAAGGCUGGACGUGAAUCUAUCUGUAGUUGGUAGUAUGCAUUUCAUGUUUUAGAAAUACUUUGAAAAGAAAAAAAUAUAUACUCGCUUUUAUGAAUUCAAUUUGGAAAUCAUUGCAUAUUUACUUUAGCAGGUUACUAACUGUGACCCAUGAAAGUCGGGGCGUUACAAUAACCAACUACUAUUCUAGAGUUGAUAUUUCCUUCUCAAUCUCCUAGAAACUAGUUCUACCCAGUUCAUAUGCUUGUUGCUUCAUAUACUAGAUCGACAACCGAGACAUAUGGAUAGAGCCUGUAGAAUCUUCAUGGAAGUUUCAUUUCAUAUCUGCCAGGUUUUCAACUAUGUUGGGAGGGAGAGUGAGUACUAAAUGAAAUUUUCCCUAUUAGAGAUAAUGAGAACAUAUGCAGUUUAUAGAACUUGUUUUUUGUUCGUCUCCCCACAUUUAGCCGAAUUGGCCCCAUUGUAGACUUCUCGUAUUUGUCUAAGAAGGUUGAAAAGGCACAUACCUUAUAUCCCCUCGACUAGAGUGUUCAUUAAUAAGGAUCGACUCAAUGAACCAAAUAUCCAAACCAAACUAAUGAAAUCUGUUCAGAUUUAGUUGGUUAAUUGAUUCACUUUAAAUUAAACCAGAACCUUACCAAUUGUAAUUGGUUCGGUUCUCAGUUUUUUUAACCUGAACCAAUUCUGGUGAGAUAUUUAUGUGAGUACAUAUUUAGAAACCUUUCUGCGGUUGAUUCUAAAGGUAAAAUCAAUUUUGAGGAGAAGCAUUUGUACGUAGCUUCUUCUGGGUUUCAAAAUUGACUCUGAUGAAAGAGAAACUUGUACAAACAUGCUUUAAGUAUCUCUUGAGCUUCAGAAUUGAUUGUGAUGAAAGAGAAGAAUUGAUUCAAAGUCUCACACUCUUACUUUAUGGGCAUGUUAAAGUUCAGCUCUCUAUGACAAGGGCUUGAAAGCAACUUGUAUAUCUACUGAAAGAACAGAAGCAAUGCGUGGCCUGAAGGUUAGUGACAUCCUCAAUUCCUCAUAAACCAAUGGCAAAAGAAACAUAGCCACUGGGGGUGCCACCAGAAUCAAAUCAUUGUUUUCAAAGCCCAAAUCCAAUAACAACAAGAAAAAAUCAACCUCAGCAAUUGCAAACCUUGUUGUUCCUCUUCAACUCCCGUCUGCUGACACCCUUGAACCCUCCAUAGAACCUUACCUUAAACCCACCAAUCUCGCAGAGUCCUUGGUAGGAUUGUAUCACAGGCUUGAAAGCAUUGCUCUAUGUGGAGCAGUACUCGCUUCUCCGCAGCCUCGGGGACCAGAAGCUUCUCCGGACAGCGCGCCGGAAUGCAGAUGACGUGUUCUCCAAGAAGGGAGGGAGGACGAGCUUAUGGACGUCUCUUCAACGGAACACAUUAAUACUAAAAAAUACAAGUAGGAUUAACAAAAGCCACGUGGCGAAGGUGAUUGUGCCUAAUUGAUAACACAUUAGUACUAAAUUUGCUUUUUUUGAUUUAAAAAAUAUCAAGGCAUCAAUUUCAUAGUAUUUAUUUUUUAGGGACCUAAUUUAACUCUUCUUUAUAUGUGAGGGACUAAAAAUAUAUUUAACCCUAAAAUUAAUUAUACAUUGAAAAAAAAAGAUUUGAAAAUAAGUUCAUUUAACCUAAUAUUAUGGGGAACAAAGUUUUUAAUGCUUGAAACUGCAUGGAGAUUGAUUGUUUGCAAUUGUUGGAUGCUUGGAACCGCUCUCGUAUGAGUUCAUCUUAUUUUUAUUCUGUGUUCGAAAAAUUGUAAGGACCUUUGUUCUCGUUUUACUAGGUUUUCGUUGUCUUUUGUGUCAUGGCGGCAAUCAAGUUGCAGAUUACAGGUCUUUCUCAUAUGCUUGACUAUGAUGUAUUUGCCUCUGACCCCUUUUAGUUUUCUUUAAUAUUGUUGGAGAUAUAAAAAAAAUCAUAAUUAAUCUGAAAUGUUUAUCUAUAAAAUACUAAAAGAAUUCAUCAAAAUUAGUAGGAGGAAAAUUGGAAAACUGUAUUUGACCAUAAUCUUACAUCCAAUUUCUAGAAAGCUAUCAAAAUAAAAAGAGUUUUUAUAAAUUUUCCGCAGCCGGGAUUUGAACCCGGAAAUUCGCAACUGAAUUUUCCAAGGUGUGCUACUACGGAUUUGUUGUCAAUAAGUGCAAAAAUAUUAAAUAUAUAGAGUAUAUAAACUCACGCAAUUUAUAAGUUAUAACAAUAACUAGGUUCUAUAUCUAUUUUUUUACAAAAAGCCAAGCUUUUGCAUUUUCUCAUCUCCUAUAGUUGCACAAUAUGAUUGUAUCUUUACGUCCCAAACUCUCUUUAAUUAGGUUUAAUUAUAAUUUUAGUUCAUUGAUCAUUUUUCUUUUUGGUAAUAUAUGUUUUAAAAGUGAGAGGCACUGACGGCAGAAAUUUGAGACUAGAGGGUCUAGAUUAAAAAGGGGGAUCAAGAUUAAAAAAUAUGACUUGCCUAUAAUGAUUUCUAGCGGUCACUUACAUAUAUAUAUAUAUAUAUAUAUAUAUAUAUAUAUAUAUAUAUAUAUAUAUAUAUAUAUAUAUAUAUAUCACAAGUAAAGAAAGAAUUGAAAAAUUUGCGAUCACGGCAUAAAAUUGAAUUUUUUUUUUAUAAAAUAUUAAAAAGGUAAGAAUAUAUUAAAAUUUUAAAAAUUUGAUAAUAUAAAGUUUCAUAUAAGAAAUAAUAUAAACUUUAGUAUAAAUAAGAUUUGCCGUCUAUAAUUAUGUCAUUCCUUCCUAAGAAAAACACUUACAGAUGAGUUGAAAAAUAAGUCAUACUUCAUAUAUUCUUUUUUUUUUGCUACAUACUUCAUAUAUUCUUUUAAAUUGUCUCAUUAAAUUUUUGACCAAUUUUUGACCAUUCAUAAUUAAAUAUGACGCGAUGGUUUAUAUAUACACUAUUCUCACAUUCCCAUCUAUAUAUAUAUGUAAAGCACACUUGAGUUUUUGCAUUAAAUACAUAAGCAAAACUCAAGUGUGUAUUAAAAGCAACCAAAAAAAUACAAAACUUUGUAAUAAAUAUAUUAAACAAUAAUAAAACUAAAAUUAAAAUAAUAUAUAUUGUGAAAAACUAUUCAACUACUACCAUUAAAUAAAAACAUUCAUAAACUUAAAAUUUCCUUGAAUUUUGUAUUUUACAAAUAUUAAAAAUUAAAUUAAAUAAGAAAAUAAUAUUUAUUAGCAAAUAAUUUACAUAAAAUAAUUUUAAAAUUCAAAAAAUUCUAUCUAUAUAUAUAUGUAAAGGAGACUUGAGUUUUUUCCAUUAAAUACAUCAUACAAUUCCUACCUCUACAUUAAAAUACAUUAAAAAUAAAGAAUUUCAUUUGCAAUAAAUAUAUUAAAUAAUAAAAUUAAAACUGAAUAAAUUGUAAUGUCAACAACUAUUCAACUACCAACAUUAAAUAAUAUAUUUAUAAAGUUAUUUAUCUUCAUUUUUAUAAUUAUUUAUAUAUUAAUUAUAAAAUUUCCUAUAUAUUUAAGUAAAAGCUAAAUAUAAUAUGAUAAAAAAUUUAAACAUAUGUAGUUAAAAUAUUAAUUAUUGACCUCAACUUGAGAAAAAAAUUAAAUUUAUAUAAAAUAAAUAUAUGAAAUAUCAGAAAUAGUCAAUGAUUAAAUACUCUUCGUACAUAUAUACUUAUAAUUUUUUUUAAUAGUUACAUGUGUUGUUUAAUAUAGAUUAUUAUAAUGUUGUUUUGUGUUAUUUUAUAAAAUAAUUUUACAAACAUAAAAAAUUAAUAUAUUAUAAUUAUUUAAGUCUUUUAGAAUAUCUUUUUAUAUACAUUAAAAAGUGUAUAGAGUAUACACAAGAUGAUAUUUAGAAUAAAAUUUUAUUAAACAAUAUUUUUAUAUGGAAACAUUAUUUAUAAUUAAAAUUAAUUAAUUUUAUUAAUAAAAAAUUACUAGCAAAUAGUUUUAAAAUUAAAAAAUGCCGCAAUAAUUUAUAAAAAUAUUUUUAAAAUUAACAUUAUUAAGUAUGACGUGGAUGUCAAAAAAGUAUGACGUGUGUGUAUUAUUUUCAGAAAUUUAUUCAAUUAUAAAUUUUAAUCUAUUAUAUAUUAGUAAAAAAGAUCAACUUAAAGAAGUAUAACAGAGAAAAAUAAUUAAGGAUAAAAUUAAAAAUUAAUUAUUUUACUAAAUAAUAUUUUAAAAUAUUAAAAUUAUAAUUUAUUGUAAUUAUUAAAGUUAAAGUUAAUUAAUUGUUGAUAAAAAGUAUAAGAAAAUGUUGAUAUAAUUUAUUUGGUGAGAUUAAAACUUAUUAAUUGAAAAUAUUUGAAAUGCACUUUAUAAUUUAUUUUAUUUUUAAAUUUUUAAAAUUAUUAUAAUGUUAAUUAUUAAAUUUGAAUAGUAUUAAUUAUUUAAAGAAAACUCUAAUACUCAUAAUGAAAUGUUUUAACACAAUUAUUUUUAUUUUAUUAUAAUUUAUAAGUAAAAAUGUUUAUUUUUUUUAAACUAUAAUAAAUUUUAUAUUAUGUUGAUAAAAUUGUAAAAACACCCGUGCAACGCACGGGUUUUAUAUCUAGUUCUCAUGUAUGUUUCACUUAUUUCUUUCUUUCUUUCUUCUUCAGUUCCAAUUUAUAAUCUCUUUUUGUAAAAACAAAAAUGGUCAUUUAUGAUUUGGACAUCCAACCUAUAUGCACAAACUCAUGUGAUGGUGAAUGGUGAUCUCCAAUUGAAGAAAAGUUAUCAAUUGCUUUUGUUGGAGAAAAUAAUUUAAAGAAGUGAAUCGCUUUGGAAUGUUAUGACCUGUUUGUUUGAUUGGUGCAGAUAAUGAGACUGCUUAACCUACUCAUAAUUGGAUUGGUUACACAACUUACUCCACCUCAUGCACCUUUGCUUGACAUGAAUUUCGUCUUAAAACCCAAAAUUUGCGGUCUAAUAAAUCCAAACAAUUUAAGGUGAACAUGGUUAGCUAAUGACAAAGAAGAAUCUGAUCAUGGAACAAGUUGACCAAAACCAAACCACAUUCAUUGGAGUUGUUCUUUGGAAGAGCGUCACUUUUUCUGUUUCUGUGAAAGCACAAAUGGAGUUGUUAGUGGCACUGGUUUUGGUCAACUUUUUGGAUUUGGCUCCAAACAAACACACACAUAAACCUCUCAUUCUGUGGUGAGUCUCAAUCUUCUAUCCAAUUUCCUCUAAUACAAGUGAUAUAAAGCCUCAAUUUAACACCUUAUAAGCAAAAUACAAAAAGACACUAAGUUCAGUUUAAUUAGUCUGUUGUCUUGCAUCUCCCACAAUCUUUCUUUCUCUUCCUUGCAAAGUGCACACAACUAUGUAAAACAUUGCUACCACAAAAGACAACUUUUUUUUUGCUAUAAGCUCCAUUGUACUCUUUCUCUCCUUGUUUGGAAACUUUUCUAUAAUAGUUUCUUAAACCAGGAUCAACUCUGGUGAAAAGUUUCUGUAACAUGUUUAGAAACCCUUCUGCAAUUGAUUCUGAAGGCAGAACCAAUUAAUUCUGGAUAGCUUCGAGUUUCAGAAUUGAUUCUGUUGAAAGAGAAGCUGAUUCAAACAUGCUAUAAUUAGUUUUUGAGCUUCAGAAUUGAUUCGGCUUACUUUAUAGGGAUGCUAAAUUUCAGCUCUUUAGCACAAAGGCUUGAAAAGUGAAAACAACAUGUAUAUCCAUUGAAAGAACAGAAGCAAUGCGUGGCCUGAAGGUCAGUGACAUCCUCAAUUCCUCAGAAACCAAUGGCAGAAAAAACAAAGCUACUGGGGGUGCCACCAGAAUCAAAACAUUGUUUUCAAAGCCCAAAUCCAAUAACAACAAGGAAAACUCAACCUCAGCAGUUGCAAACCUUGUUGUUCCUCUUCAACUACCUUCUGCUGACACCCUUGAGCCUUCCAUUGAAGCUUACCUUAAACCCCCCAACCUCGUAGAGGCCUUGGCAGAACUGUAUCGCAGGCUUGAGUGCUGCCCGCAAUCCCAGAAAGCAUUGCUCUUUGUGGAGCAGUACUCGCUUCUCCGCAGCCUCGGAGACCAGAAGCUUCUCCGGACUUGUCUCAGAACAGCGCGCCGGAAUGCGGAUGACGUGUUCUCCAAGGUUGUGCUGUCAGCAUGGCUGAGGUUCGAGAGGAGGGAGGACGAGCUUGUGGGCGUCUCUUCAAUGGACUGUGCUGGUGGCAGCAUUCUUGAAUGUCCAAAGUUGAAUUUGGUUCAUGGAUUUAGUCCCAGUUCAGUUAAUGAUAAGUGUCAGUGUUCACAAGAGACUAAACAGGAAACUAGCAAUGAAAGUGUGUGUUUACUAAAUGAGGAAAAGGAUGUUUCUUUUUGCAUUGGAAAUGUGGAAAUCAAAUGUGUUAGGUGGAGAAUUGCAUCACUAUCAGACCCUUUUAAGGCUAUGCUCUAUGGUGGUUUUGCAGAGUCCAAAAUGAGGAAGAUUGAUUUCACCCAAAAUGGGAUAUGCCCAAAGGGUAUGAGAGCAGUGGAAUUAUACAGCAGGGUAAAAAGAUUGGAACUUUUCUGCCCCAUGACUGUUUUGGAGCUUCUUUCAUUUGCCAAUAGGUUCUGUUGUGAGGAGAUGAAGUCUGCUUGUGAGGCCCAUUUGGCUUCAACUGUAGUGAAUGUGGAUGAUGCAUUGGCACUUGUUGAGUAUGGAUUGGAAGAGAAAGCACCUCUUCUUGUAGCUUCAUGCUUACAAGUGCUUCUCAGGGAGCUGCCAAAUUCUUUGUAUAACUCAAAAGUGAUAAAAAUCUUCUGUAGUCCCGAGGGAAAGAAAAGGUUAGAAACUAUGGGGUAUGAUUCUUUCUUACUCUACUAUUUCCUGAGCCAGGUUUCUAUGGAGGAAAACAUGGUAUCUAAGACUACAAUGAUGUUACUAGAAAGACUUGGGGAGUGUGCAGCUGAAAAUUGGCAGAAAGCACUUGCAUUCCAUCAAUUGGGGUGUGUGAAUCUUGAAAGGAAAGAAUACCAAGAUGCUAGACAUUAUUUUGAAGUUGCAGCUGAAGCAGGUCAUGUGUAUUCUUUGGCUGGUAUAGCCAGAACAAAGUAUAAACAAAAUCAACCAUGUUCAGCCUAUAAGUUAAUCAGUUCUCUCAUAUUUGAGCAUAAACCUGCUGGGUGGAUGUACCAGGAGCGUGCUCUUUACAAUACCGGAUGGGAAAAAAGUUUCGAUUUAGACGUUGCAACUGAACUAGACCCUUCCCUUUCAUUUCCUUAUAAAUAUAGAGCAUUGGCAAAGGUGGAAGAGAAGCAGAUAAAGGCUGGAAUCUUAGAGCUUGAUAAGAUUAUUGGAUUUAAGCUCUCUCCGGAUUGCCUAGAAUUGCGAGCUUGGUUGUUUCUUUCACUUGAGGAAUAUGAGAGUGCCUUGAGAGAUGUUCGCGCAUUGUUAACUUUGGAACCAAGUUAUGUAACUUCACAUGGGAAGAUCACAGGGAAAUACUUGGUUUAUCUACUUAGUCAUGUGGUAAGGCAGAAGAGCCAGGCUGAAUGCUGGAUGCAAUUAUAUGAAGAAUGGUCUUCUGUAGAUGAUGUUGGUUCCUUGGCUAUUAUACAUCAGAUGUUAGAGAAUGAGCCUGCAAAGAGCCUGCUAGAGUUUCGUCAGUCUCUACUCCUUUUAAGGUAAGCAUCUAUAAAUCCAACCUAUCGGUAGUAACUAGUUUAGAACCCGUUUGGAUGCAUACCAAAGGGCACUUAUUGGAGCAGUACUUUUUUUAGUAGAUAAACUUCAAUAAAUGCUCUUUAGUCCUUAUCCAAACAGGCUCUGAGUAUCUCUUCUCUUCAACUUUCAAUUUUUAUGGUGUUUAUUGCACAUUAAAAGGUUAUGGUUGGUAUUAUAAUAUUUUAUUUGUGGAGAGUGUAAGCGCUUCCUGAUCUAUCUGCACUAGGGUUUUAAAUUGCGGCUGCGGUCGCAGUUACCGCUGCAUUGAAGAAUUGCAUACGAAUUUCGGUCAAAACAACUGCAAUUGCGGUCGCAAUGCCAUUGUGGGGUGGCCACAAUUGUGGUUACUGACCGCAAUUUAAAACCCUGUACAAUUCAAUCCAGUUAAGAAAAUAUGAUAUCAAGAGAAUUCCUUACCGUUAUGAAUUUCAUAGGUUAAACUGUCAAAAGGCUGCAAUGCGCAGUUUGAGGAUGGCAAGAAACCAUUCCAGCUCAAUGCAAGAAAGGUUAAUAUAUGAAGGGUGGAUUCUAUAUGAUACUGGAUACCGGGAUGAAGCUCUAUCCAGAGCUGAUAAGUCCAUUGCAAUUCAGAGAUCAUUUGAAGCUUUGUUUCUAAAAGCAUAUAUGUUGGCAGAUACAAGUUUGAAUCCUGAAUCUUCUUCUUAUGUAAUCCAACUUCUGGAAACAGCACUUAAAUGUCCUUCAGAUGGUCUUCGCAAAGGACAAGUGAGUUAUUUCUACUGCUACUAUCCCCCUUACUGAUCAAGUUUGUUUUCUGCAGUAAUUUGAUUGUGUGCUGCAAAAUUUUGCAGGCACUGAAUAACAUGGGGAGCAUUUAUGUGGAUUGUGGAAAGCUUGAUCUAGCAAAAGCAUGCUACAAGAAUGCCCUGGAAAUUAGGCACACAAGAGCUCAUCAAGGUCUAGCGCGCGUUUAUCAUCAGAAAAAUCAACGAAAAGCCGCGUAUGAUGAGAUGACGAAGCUAAUUGAGAAGGCUGAGAGCAAUGCCUCAGCGUAUGAGAAACGAUCUGAAUACUGUGACCGCGAGAUGGCGAAGGCUGAUCUUGAUUUAGCAACACAACUUGAUCCUUUAAGGACAUAUCCAUAUAGAUUCAGGGCAGCAGGUACUUCACUUAUAUUUCAUUCUUUACCAUUUUUCCAUUAGGUGAAAACAUUACUUGUUAAAUCAGGGAUUUUACUUACAUAAAAUGGUCAUACAUAACCAGUGCUGAUGGAUGAGCAAAAAGAAACUGAAGCUGUGGAAGAGAUCACCAAGGCCAUAAACUUCAAGCUUGACAUGAAAAUACUUCAUCUACGAGCAGCGUUUUACGAGUCAAUGGGGGACAUAUCCUCUUCUCUUCAAGACUGUCAGGCAGCUCUAUGCUUAGAUCCUAACCAUACAGAAACACUUGAUUUGUAUCAAAGGGCACAAAAACUGAGCUUUUAAUCAUAUACCAAUGUGCAUAAGAAGGCUGAAUGUGUGUUUGGAUACCAAUCGAGUGCAACGUGAACGGACUUUCAUCUCAAUCCAAUAGGAAGAGUUUCAUUCACUUUUUACCUCGAAGUGAGUGCUAACAUCUGAUUGCACUGGUGGCAACAUAUAUCCAAACAUAGUCAUGUAGAGAUAUCGGUUAGGAAAUUGUUGGGGCAUCCCAAAUUUUUUAAGUUCCAAUGGGAGGACAUGGAUUUUGCAGCUAUUGAAACAAAGCCAAAAUCCAAGAAGUAGUACUUGGAUGAUUGGAGAAAAGGGAUAAAAAGAAAUAUGUGCUUCAAUUGAUCAAAUAGGAGAACAAUUAAGGUGUACAUCAGAUUUUCAAAGUACCUACACUGAUAUGAUACAGAUUCUUGUGAGCCAUGUGCACAUAAUUUGUCUCACACUAUUUGCAAGUCUCUUGUACAGUUACAGAGUUGUAAUUUAUAGAGAGAAAACUCACUUUUUGUUUCCUGCAAUGUAUGAUUUAUUAUUCUUCUUGAUAAGAAGUUUUAUCUUUUCUGCAUCUUUGGUCCAUUCCAUAAAGAUUCGACAAAGUUGUAAGUUGGUUCUCAACAGCUCAACACAACUCCAAUCUUUCCUCCUUAUUUAAGCAUUUUGCCAAAGAGAAAACAAAUAACAAAUACUCAUAAGGAGCAUUUUCCAUGCCUAGCAUUAUAGAAAAAGGAAACACUCAUAGAUAUGGAUGUUAGUAAAUUUCACUAAGUCUGCUUGAGGAGUUUAUACAUUUGGAACAUCCUCAAAAACCAUUAUUCUUGUUAAUGGCUUCUCAACAGUAUCCAGUAAGAUUCACAAAAUUCUUGUUGUUGACUCUGAGAAAUGUUCAUAUCUGGAAACCUGAAAAGCUAAGUAUUAGAACCAAGAUGAAAAAGGAGGAGCAUUUGCUACACUUGUCGCCAUCAAACCUUCUUUCAGAAUUGAGUUUCCAUACGUUUUUUUUUACCAGUUUUCAGAUUUGGUCACUGCAGAAGAAACCACCGCUAUCUCGGUUCCAACAGAAAAAAGGGCAAGGGCAGCCCGGUGCACAAAACUCCUACGUACGAAUGGUCCAAGAACAAGAAGGGGUCCCCUUCUCUCAUAAAUGAGAAUGUGAAUGUUGAUAGAUGAGUUUGUCACACUAGAAAUGAAAGAAUGCGCAGUGAUCAUAUAAGAAAAUGAAAAUAUAUUAGGAUGACAAUUAUACAAGUUUACGAUUAACCAAGUGGGUUGGUGUAGUGGUUCGGCACUUCAUCCUUUAAGCAAGUGGUCGGGGGUUCGAAUCUCAACUCUUGCGAAUAGAAAAAACUCCUUGGACUCCUUGGUCAGCCCCCUACCGCUUAGUGCGCUGACCGUGGGGCGAGAGAUUAGUCUCACGGCUGACGAUUAAGAUGGUACAUACAUAAGGUAUGAAGAAGACAUUUUGAGACACUAGUGCGGAUGGUUAUGAAUCAUGUGAAGAAUAGUACAGGAAGGCCAAAAAAGACAUCAGAAAAUAUUAUUAAAAACGGCAUCAUUAUCUAUUAAAAUUGGUUUUUGAUCUAGCGUAAUGAACUAAUGAUGUAGUAUGGUCUAAUAAUCGACCUCAUUCAUUUAGUGACUUAAGGACUUCUAUUGUUACUGUAUCUCUUUGUGACUUGUUGCUUUUUUACCAGCUAUAAAUUAUUUAUUGUUGUUUAGUUUAGAGGAACUCCUAUUAUGUGUGCUCAUCCCUUUUCAACAUCUUUUUUUACAACCCAUGAAUCAAUGUUUCUUUAAGCAACCAACAACAAGCUAACGCUGCGCGAACAUGUCAAUUAGACUUAGAUAGCCAAUUCUUUCUUUCCUGAUAAUGUAAGAAAUCUGUCACUCUCAAUACAUACCACGUUAGGUACUAAGCCUUGUAUAUAAUAUACUUUAUCUUCUAAUGACCAUAAAGAAAAAAGAUGAUUGAUCUUCUUGGUGGGAAAACCACUUUUUCUUCAUUGGAAAUUUUCACAGAUGAUGAUGAUGGUAAGUGAAUAAGGAUGAUAUGUAUUGUCCUUUUCACUCUUCAACCAAAUGGAAAAGGACAAAACUUCACAUUUCAAAGAGAAAGGAGGGAACAUGAUUUCUUUAGCAGUUGGACCAUUCCCUUCCAUUAUUACCCUAAUGGAUAGUUACAAAGUAGGACAUCCAUGCAGAAAAGCAUCGCAGAUCAAGUUAUGUGUUCAUAAUCCUUUGUCAAUAACUGAUAAUUUCAUAAUGGACAGGACAAGGGUUGUUUCAGAAAGAAAUGGGGUAUAUUCGAGUCAUAAUCAGUAGUUGGAAGCAUGUCGUCAAUCAAGCAUUUUAGGUGCAUGUUUAACAAACAAAAGUAGAAUCAUCUCUCAUUUUAAACUGCACAAGUUCUAAGCUACUAAUAGUAGCUUUUUUGGAGGCUACACAAUUCUACUGCAAAGCAUGGAAAUUCUUUUACAAUUGACUCUAAAGUCAAAAUCUAAUCCAGAAAAAAGAUUUUGCGAGUAGCUUCUAGGAGCCAGAAUUGAUUCCGGGUAGCUCAAGCAAACAACAGACUAUAAGUAGGCGAUUCAAGAAGUUAAAAAUUGAAAAGCAGGGACCCUUCAACAGAAGAAAUAUUACAGGCUUGAAAGAAACAAAUAGAGUUUUCAAUGAUUCACAGUGAAAGGUUUCAAUCUAACAAUUACAUAGCAAAAACAAACUGCUUCAAAGUGAAAGCAUCCCAACCAUCUCAAAAUCAUAAUGACUGGUAUGGAUGCUGGAUCAAGGUGGGGGGAAAAGACAAGCAGAUGGAGAAUGAUAGUAGCUCUGUUUCUUUCUAACAUUUUCUUUAAAAAUCAUAAAUCUGUUUUUUUUUUUUGGAUUUUUCAACAAUCACUUAUUGGAGGGGGGAGGAGGUAAAAUGAUCAUUCCAAAUAAUAGUUUCCUCACAUAAGUUAAAAUCAAUUACUAUAUUUCAACUUUUUCAGAAUCUUCCUUUUCCAACUUCUGUAUGAACUGUUAUCAACUGGUACAGGCUUUUUCAUAAACUAAGCAAAAACUUAUCUGGAUAAAUAAUUAACAUAAACUAGAAGCUAAUACAAACUGGGCCCUAGUCAAAGCAAGAUUGCCUAGUUUGUUAACAAUGGCACAGCUCUUUGAAGUUUCGACUUUUGUUCCAUUCAGACAUUUGAUUAGAGGUAUGGCAUUCUAACACCACUUUAUACAAACAGCUCAUGUUAAUUCAGCAGACAGUCAUAACAAAAGGAAAAGUAACACUCAUACACCAUUUUACACCAGAAUUACCCUUCCAAACUCCUCCACAAGACACCAAUCAUGUAGGGGAAAGGGGGUCCUAUGCCCAAAAACAACUAGUAUGUAGAAAAAGUAAGCAACCAAGUGCCCCACCUAAACAUCCACUUCUAGAUUUUCUGCACCUCAAAAAUCAUAUCUCAUUUUAGUAACACCAUCUGCUUUGGAAUCAUUAACCAAAAUUAUGACAAUGGAGAAAUAACAUGUACAAAUAUACAACAAUAACAACAACUUUAUCCUACUAAAUGGGAUCGACUACGACGCUAUUGCGCUCGAUCGAAUAGCAUGUACAAAUAGAAUUAAGAAAAAAAGAUAGGGAGCAUAGAUAUAACUCAAAAACAUGUUCAAAAAAUUAAAAUAUACACAACCCUUUCAUAUGAAAAAUAAAUUGCAAAUGUGAUAGAGCAAAAGGCAAAACAAGUUAGCUAACAUAUGGUCAUGAAAAUAUUAACCAUUCCAGAAGGAGAUAGAGAUGCUCACAUAACAAUGUAUCAAUCAACAAUCCCCCACCUGAUCAUGGGCCUAUACAUGUUCUUACUCGCCCACAAAAAAACUACAAAACUGAUCCUAAUCAAUGAAAAAAGAGAUUAUAUUUUUUUCAAUUUUUCAUUCCAUUGCUAAAUUCAUAAUAAAAUUGGAUCAUCAAAACAAGAAGGGCACCUAACAAGACCAUUCUCAUUGCAAGCAAUGCAGACUCUGAAUCCAGCUUUCUCAGUAAACACCUUCCUGCUACCAUAACACUCAUCACACAGAACAAACCGGUGACCGCCGCAAACGUCACACUCCGCCGGAUCCACCUCCGGCAGCGCUUUAAGAAUCUUCUUCAGCUCCCCCACCUCGUUCAUCUGCCUCACCUCCUCAGCACCACCAACAUACCUCCCUCCAAUGAACACACGCGGCAGCGUCAACCUGCUCCGACCCAUCACCCGAAUCAGCUCCGCCGUGAAAGCUGAGUCCAUCGACACGUCCCGCUCGUCGAUUCGGACGCGGAAGCCGCGGAGAAUGGCCAACACGCUCUUGCAGCCCUCGAAUGUCGGCCUCACCACGCGCAGGCUCGUGAAGUACACCACCACACGAUUCUCUGUACCCGGAAGGUAAAUCUCCGGCGCCGGAGAGGGAGAAGGUGGAAGGUCAGGUAACGAGUCAUCUGGGUAGGAGAGGGUUCUGGGUAGCUUCGGUUGUUGUUGUUGUUGUUGUUGGUGGUGGUGGUUCUGGUUUUGGGAGUGAGUUGACCAGGUGCGGAGGAGCGAGUUGGCGAGUCGGACUCGGUGGAAAACGGUGGAUUUUCUGAUGGGGGAGGGUUGUGGCGGUGGUUCGUCGAGGCAAAGGGUUUGAAUGUCUUUGAAGGAGGAACAGGAGAAGGAAGGUGAAGAAGAUGCACUGUGAAUUCGAGUGGUUGAUUUGGAUUUGCCCCACGGUCGCCACAUUGAAGGUGGGAAAAACGAAAAUAGUAGUAUCUUCUCUUUUCUCUGCAAUUCUCUUCUUGUUCAAUUCUCUUCUGCAAUUGGAAUUGAGAAAUGGGUAUGAGGAAAGAUUGGAUUUUUCUUAGGGUAAUGUGGAUGUUUUAUGAAAAUGGGGGGAAUUGAGAAAUGGGUAUGAUGAGGAAAGAAUGGAUUUUUCUUAGGGUGAUGAGGAUUUUUGAUGAAAAUUGGGGAGAUUGAGAAAUGGGUUUGAUGAGGGAAGAAUGGGAUUUUGGUUAGGGCAAUGAGGAUUUUUGAUGAAAAUGGGGGAGAUUGAGAAAUGGGUAUGAGGAGGAAAGAAUGGAUUUUUGUUAGGGGGAUGAGGAUUUUUGAUGAAAAUGGGGGAGAUUGAGAAAUGGGUAAUAGGAAAGAAUGGAUUUUUUUGUUUUUGUUUGAGGGAGAAAAUUUGGGGGAAAUUGAGAUUUGUUUCUAUUUUUGUUGUUGGUGAUAGAUUGAUGGAUGGAAGGGAAGAGAGAGGGUUGGGAAUUUGAUUGCUUAAAGUUUAGGUUUUGGUUGAUGGUGGUGAAUUUGCAUGUGUGCAAAGUUCGGGAGGUCCUCAGCUUUUAUUUUUUUUGUUUCUCUUUUAAGCUUUUAGCAGAGAAAAGGAGAGAGAUGGGGAAAUGAGGGGGAAGGAAGGAAGCAAGGGAGUGAGAUUUGAGAGGGAAUUGAAAAGGCAAUUGGGAAAUUGGGAGGGGGGGAGAUUGUGAUAGGGUAGAAAAAGGUAGAGUGAAGGGUAGCUUGGUGGUUGAGGGGUUGCCUUGUUUUGUUUUGUUCUUGCUUUGAUUGGGGUUUAAUGAAGAGCCAGGGUGGAUUAGAGACCCUUAAUACAAGUUUGUACAGCUAUUUAUGGAUGAGAUUGAGACUUGAGAGCACACUGAUUUUUCUCUUAAAAAUAACCCAUUUUGGGUAAUGAAUGAUUCAAUUAUUGAUAUGAUUGUGGAAAUUUAUCCAAGAAAAAUUUCGUGUGAUAUUUAUACAAAUUUAUAAACAUACUAUAAUAUUAUCAUAUUUUUAAAAUGAGCUUUGUAAAAAAUAUAUUUUAAGAUGAGCUUUAUUAUUUAAUCUCUCUAAUUAAAUACUCCUAACUCAAUGACUUUGUUUAAUGAAGGAUUUGCAAACAAAUCUUGGAUAGGCACAAAUUCAACCCAUUAUUUUUUAGCACAACCAAUUAAAAUUAAAUUGACACAACUGUAACAUAAAAAAUUUAAAAACCAACAUGACAAAGUUGGAAAAAUAAAUAAUUUAAAUGCACGUUUGGUUCCUUGAAUGGUUUAGACCUCAUUACUUAUUUUUAAAUUUGGGGUUCAAUACUUAUUUUUGCAAAAAAUUGAAUAUUUUAAAAUUCGCACUUACAUGUAAUUUUAUAAAAAAGUAACAAACCAAGAAUUAAAGACCGUCAAAAUUACUACUCCUAUCUCACUAUACUAGCUACUCCUAGAUCCUAGCAUCUUAUUUCAAGUAUUAUUUCCUCCAACGUGAAACUUUACCUAAUUAUUAAACACGCAUAUUAUUAUUCCUUCCGUCCCUAAUUAUAAGUUAAAGUUGUAAAAAUCACACUUAUUAAGAAAGUCUUAAUUGAUGCAUUGGUUUAUAAAAAAAGGUACAACUUUUCAUGUCUACCCCUAUUUAAAAUAACACUUUUUAAUCAUUAUACUACUAAUAGUGCUCCACUACCAAUAAAUGCAAGGAUACAUAUGGAAAUAAAUAUUAGCUUUUAUAACUUUAGAUUAUAUUUAGUGACAAAACAAAAGUUUCAUCUUUAGCUUAUACUCCCUCCGGUCUUAUUUAUAAGCAUGAAAGAGAAGAAAAAUCUUGGUCCUUUUUAUAAGAACCAAAUGAAAGUUUGAGCUAUAUUAAUUAUUUUUUUCCAAUAAUGCCCUUAUUAAUUCAAACUUGUAGAAUGUGUAUCAUUAAUUAUUCUCUCUCUUUCCCACUUUCCAACAUGAAUAACAAAGGGUAAUUUUGGAAGUUUAUUUUGAUUCAAAACAAAUUUAAUGCAUUUUAUCUAGUUUUACUACAUUUCUUAAACUAUGUGAAUUUUUUUUUUAUUGCUUAUAAAUAGGACCGGAGGGAGUAAUUAGGGACAGAGGGAGUCAGGGAGUAUAAUUUACUAUAUCUAAGGUUAUUGCCACUAAUUGAUGUACUUAUUGAAAUACGUGCUUCAUUUUUUAUUUGGUCAAAGUGCAUCAUCGUAUGAUCCUAUCUACACAACCAAAACCAAUCAAGACUGAACUCAUAAUUGGUGUCUGGAUCAUGAUUUCACCAACAUGGAGCACCCUCUCCUUUCCCUGCAACCUGAGGCAUCUUCUCCAAGCUGAUGUGGCAGGGGCCAUUUUAGCUUCAUGUGGUUACUAGUGCUCCUCGAGCAAGAAUGUGGUAACCCCCAAGAGAUGACGUUGCUAAAUUCAAUGUUGUUGGGGGCUCCAAAGGGCAAUUUGGGUGAGAUUAAAUUCAUCUUAUGUAAAAACUAUUUCACUUUCUCUUAUGUUCAAUUUUUUGUUUAUAUCUUCAUAUGAAUUAGAUAAAUGGCAAUAGAUGAAAUCUAUUGAAUAUUUAUGAUGUGACAUACACACAACUCGACAUUAUCAUGUGAUGUGAGAGAAUCUCAAUCCAAUAUGGGUGAGAUUGAAAUUAGUGGAGUAUUGAGAAAUGACGAAGGGAAAGUCUUGAGAUGUUUAUCCAAAUCAGUAGAGCAUAGACAGAAAUUUGAAGCGGAUUGCCAUAUCCAAAUGGAUUGCGAGUUAAAUACCAAUUUCGUUAUAAUUUUGUAUUGGAAGGGCGAUUCAAACAUUGAAAUAAAAAUGCUUUUUGUAAUUUUUCAAUAAUGAAAUGAAGAUGACGAAAAGCGUAUUAACAGAAGAUGGAGGGAAACAAAACAACAAAAGACAUGCUAGCUAUAUAUUAUCAUUGUCAUCACUUCUCUAAAUCUGAAGAGGGGGAAAGAAACAUUAGAAAGAAAGUAUCUAGUACUCAAAGAUAAGGGAAUAUUGUUCAUGUGUUCAUAAUAACCAGAUAAGGAAACAAGGCGUGUUCAGCAGAACUCAAUCAAUAACACUUCCAAAGAAAAGUUGUUAAUCCUCCACCACUAAUCCCAACUGAGUGGACUCUGAAAAGUUUCACAUGCAUGGGGGCAGAGUAAGAAAAAAGUGGAAGCAACAAAGAAAGGUAAACACUAACCCACAUGCACAUGCAAUGUUGUUAUCUUUUUUAAUCGGACAUGCAAUGUUGUGAUUGAUUUAACAUUGAACGAAUAACCUAGAGAAAUGCCUUUUCCCUUUGUUCAAUUCAUGUGAACAAACCAACAUCGUGUUUAUAUCGUUUUGAGUUGAACAUUCCAUUACAUUUGGUGGCAUCAAUGAUAAUUGGAUAGUAGCUAUGGAGCAAUUCAUAUCUUUUCCAUUUAAGAAUAAAUAUUGAAAGCUAUUCACAUUUUUAUAUAAUAACCAAAUUUUAUUUCAAUAACUCGUGUUUUAAAACUAUGUUAAAAUAUAUAACAAUCGGUAAAUAAAAUACAAAAAAGAUAUAAAACAAAAUGGAAUGAAAUAUAAUUAUUUUAUUAUUUCGUUAUUUCAACAUUUUUAUGAUGAAACAUGGAAAAUAAUGUUAUACCUUUAGAUUAAAAGGAUUAAAAAAAGACUUGAAAUAAAAUAGAAUGGAAUGUGUACAUUUUGAUAAAUUUUAUUUCAUUUUUACUAUGUACAGUAUAUUUUAAAUACUUUAAGAGUAAAUAUACAAAGAACAGAAUAUAGUUACUUGAGAGCUGGAACUGCAAUGAAGCCAUAGAAAUAGGUGUAAUGAAAAGAAAGCCCUUGAAACUAUAGUUCCAUUAUUCUAGUUCCAACUGUAGUGGAGAAACUAUAAGGUUUCCAUAAGGGACCACAACCUACUUGAAAUUAGCUCGAUGCAAGAUCCUCCCUGAAUCCCAAGCUUUACCUUUUCCUUUCUCUAUAGCAGACAACAAAAUCUGUAACAAGUUGGCUGCAUCUUCCUCACAAGCUAGUUCUAAAUUUGUUUGAGGAAGUGGAAGAUGAGUCGGAUAAUGGUUGAAACGCACAGCCCUGGUUCUGCUACCACUGCCUCUCUUGGGAGAAUUCUGAUUUUGCCUAAAUGAGGAGGAAUCUGGUCCACUACUAACAAUGUGCAAAACACCUUGAUCAUCACUGUCAGCAUGUAUUAUACUCUCCAAUCCAAUCUCCCAUUCAAUUAUCCACUCCAAAUCAGCAGGGAUGCCACAAAAUUCAGGCUUGCCCAAGUUUAUCAAACUUGGACUGGAAACAGUCAAUACAAAUCUUUCUGUUAUGACAGCAAACUUGCCAGCUUCUUUAAGGGCUUUGCAGGCCACUAACUUCUCAUCUUUAUACUUUAACCCAUCAUCACCCUCCAUAAGGAAGGAUGCACCAACUGCUUCUUCCCAUGCAUAAGGUCUUAAUGGAAAUUCACGGUAAAGUGGCCUUUGAAGCCGGACCCUAAACCGCUGUGAUCUUAAUUGAUUGGGUUUACUGCGGUUUCUAAUACUAAGUGCAGUUUUGCCAGUAACUUCAAGUAUACUAGCAGCAGGUUUUGCCACAAGUCCUGUAAUCCCUAAAGCAACUCCUGCAAUAAAAAUAAGCAAUAAUUGUCACUGACAAUUGUUAAAGGUGCUUCAAGUUUAUAAGAGAUCAAAACAAUUCAAUCAACUUGAUUUACCAGAGAGGACACCAGGAAGACCAUGCCUCUCUGCUCCUCUUAUAGGUGACUGGAGGAGACCAGUGAGUCCCUGCAAACAAUAUAGAAAUGCAAAUGCAGGAUUAGAUCUUCUAGUGGAUGCAUGGUAAUUAUUCACUUAAACAGUCAUUAUAUAUAACUAAUAUUUUAUUCCAUGAGAAAUUGCAAGGGAAAAAACGACAUGAUUAUAUAUAAGUAUAGCUAUGGAUGAAGACAUGAUUUCUCUGGAUCCCAUUGAACUGUGUUAUCCUUAGUGUGGUUCUAUCCCUAGGCUUGUCAAACUAGCUGAUGACUAAGUUGAUGCUAGUAUGCGUGCUGGUCACAUACCUCUAAGACUUCAUUAAUUACACCUUUACUGUCAGAAGAUACAGUUGCUUGGUGUUUUUCCACCCCUGAAACAGCUUGGUCAUCAUAUGUAAAUGCAACAAUACCCUAGAAUAUGAAAAGGAAAGCUAUGAUUAAGAACAAAGUUCAAUAAUAUGAAUCAAAAUACAAUGAAAUAGAAGCAAGUAUCACCUUGCGUGCAGCUUUACUGAAUUGAGAAGUCGCAUCACUAAUAGCAUACAGUGUGUUGCUUAAAAGACUAGUGGUGCCUUGAGCCAUCCCCAUAAUAAGUCCAGUAGGGCUCUGCAAAUUGAACUCAGAGUGCUCAACUAAUUUAUUAGACGAGAAUAUCAACUAUAAAUAAAGAAAAGGGCCCAGCAUCUUUAGACUUUUACCUGCAUAAUGCUUUUUGCAGGAACAGACAAGAAAUCUCUGAUGCCAUGUCCUAUGCUCCUUGCAAAACCCAAGGGAUUACCAAUGACACCAGCCGAACCAAACAACUACAAAUUUAGAAGGAAACAAGGUACAACGUUGUUAUACAGAUGUGACACUGGGUACAUUAAGUUAAUAUUAUUGCACAGUAACAAGUUGUAUGUAAGGAAAUUAAUCAUUCAACUAGGUGCAGAUCAAAAUAUUCUCAAACACAAGUUGUACAACUUAUCAAAAUAGGAAGCACACUAAUGAUAGCACAUCAAAAAAAGAAGGGUUAAGCAUCAUAUUAGUCCCUGUCUUUGUGUCGCCGUCUGACCUAGGUCCCUCCCCGGAAAAUUUAUUGUAAAUGGUCCUCAUGUUUGAAAAUUAUUUGGAGCAGAUCCUCGCCGGAGCUCCAAGCUCCGGCGAGUGCUGAUUUGGAUCGCUGAUUGGGAUAAAAAUGCUUACGUGGAUUAUAAAAAAAAUAAAAAUUUACACAUCAGAAAAUUAAAUUAAAUUAAUAAAAUAAAAUUAACUUAAAAACUCAAAUUACCCCCAAAUUAACCCCAAUUCUAAAUUCCUAAAUCAGAAACAAUAACCCUCAAUUCCUAACCCUAAAUAACACACAACUUCAACAUAGAAACCCAGAAACUUCAACUUCUUCCUCAUCUCCCUCCUUAAUCUCCUUCCACAGAGCAAAUCAUACCUACCUGCAACCCACCAAAAUCAGUACCGGAAUCCCCUUCUCAGCCUCCAAAUCUAGCAUCAAGAACAUAUUUGGGGUGAGGUCGUGAGGCCGACAUUGGUGCUUCCAGAUCUAGCUUCAAGCACAGACCAGGUCGCAGUCGGCGGCAACCGGCGUUACCCGGCUGAGACGGAGCAGCAGCUCUUACCCAGAUCUGCGACAGUGGUAUACCGGCGACGAGCGUUAGCAGUUUCGCUUCUUCGAAAUCGACAACACAGCUAUGCAUAUUCCAUUUUUCUGCAACUUAGGCCCGGACCCAUUCUCUCUUUGUAUCUCAACUCAAGUGGUGGCUUCGAUACCCAUAAAUGGUGGGAGAGGUGAUGUGUUCUGGGUUUAAUUUCUAGGCAAAGAUACCCAGAAAUUCAUUUGUUUAGGCUUUAUUUGCAUUACCUGUUAAUUUGUUGGCAGAAUCAUGGUCUGAUUUCACUUUCCCUGCUUUUCUCCCACUAAAAUGUACAGAUUUUUUUAUAACUGCGGUUAGAUAAUGGUUUAGGGUGAUUACAAGGUUGCCAGCAAAUCGUUUUUGUUGUAUUCUCUUCUUUUUCAAUAGCAAAAUUGCAAGAGUGCUGACGGCAAGCUAGCACGCCCUUUACUGUUUGUGAAAUUUAUGAAUUCUUACAUCUAUGAAUUUUGUGGAUUUAUGGGUUUGAUGUGGUAAAUGACGAUGAAGAUGAACAUGGUUUGGUUUUGAUGAAGAUGAAGAUGACCAAUGGGUUUGGUUUUGAAGCAGGGUAGAGGGAAGGAUUUCAAGAGGGGAUGGAAGAUUAUGAUUUUUUUGAAGAGAGAGGAAGCAUAUGAAGAAUUUUUUAUUUGAUUCAGAUGAGAGAUGAAAUGGGUUUGGUUUUGAUGAAGUUGAAGAUGAUUUAGGGAAAAUUGAUUUUGUUAAUUAAUUUUUGGAUUAGAUUUGUUAAUUAGUUUUAUUUUUGUCAAUUAAAUUAAAGUUUCUGAUGUGUAUUUUAUUAUUAUUUUAUUAUUAUUUUUAAUUCCACAUCAUCUUCAUUAAUCCAGUCAACAUGUCAUUUAAGCAUUCGCCGGAGCUCCAAGCUCCGGCGAGGAUCCGCUCCAAAUAAUUUUCAAACAUGAGGACCAUUUACAAUAAAUUUUCCGGGGAGGGACUUAGAUCAGACGGCGACACAAAGACAGGGACUAAUAUGAUGCUUAACCCAAAAAAGAAUGAACAAGUUCCAAUAUUCAACAUAGAUAAUUGAGAUGAAAUUGAUGAGUUGGGGCAAAAGAUUCAUGCUUGUCAUUUCUAGCCAGACUGAUGUACAAAGUACAAACACAGCAAGAUUUUGAGAUAUAAAUUAACUCUCUACCUUGUAAGUCUCAUGAAGUAGUUGGCGGUUGUAAUGCCUAAUUAGAAUCUGCUGAAUGGAUUCCCAACUAGCCAUGUGAUGUGCAAUGGUUAAAUCCUUUAAAUAAAUAUGGGCUCCCUCCACAUCAGCAAGGGCCAUAAGUCCUCUCUGAAAUUAAUCAUAACGUUUUGUUAAAAAUAAACCACUAUCAGUAAGUUUACCGUGAAUUAAUAUAUCUCUCUAAAGCUUUAAAAAAGAAAAUUGUUGAACAGCAUGAUGGGUGUAUGUAUAUAUUGUGAAGUGACUAAAGAAAAAAAUGCGACUAAUCAGUUUAGGCAUGUACAUUAUUAGAAUUUAGGAGACCUAACUCUACCCAAAAACAAGGUGAGAGUUGCUCUACCCUUUAUAAGGACUAUUUUGGUCAUAUCUCUAGUUAAUGUGAGACUUCUAACACACCCCUUCACGCCCAAGGACAACUGGAGCGUGGAACAUGCAGGAAUGAACAUCUGCGGGUGGCCCAUAUAUGGGUGGUCUCCAAUAAACGAUCUAAGAUAUGCUCUAAUACCAUUUUAGAAUUUGGUUUAGGCCUACCACUACCUCAAAAGCUAGAUCAAGAGGUGAAGAUUGUCUUCCCAUAUACAAGGGCUAUAUUGUCACAUCGCUAGUCGAUGUGAGACUUCUCAACAUACAUAUUUAUACCAUGUAGUAUUAUUAACAAGAUGAAUCAUCUCCUAAAACUAAUACUACCCGUUAUACAUGUGCCUAGUUCCAAUACAACUCCUCAAGCUAGAGUAUGUGUCAUGUGUGCCAAAAUUGUUACAAAUAAUGUCAACUUGAGGACCUAUAAGGGAUUUAGUAAAUUAUGAGCUAAUGUAUUUUAACAAUUUUGCUCCUCUAGAGGGGUCAUUUUAAAGGGGUAAUGUGAGCAAUUAAAUCCAUUCAUUGACAAAUCCACUGUUGAAAUUGUCAUGCAUACUUGCGGGUGUAUAAUAAACCACACAGCGUCCUUAACUCUGUUGAUUUCUCAACCAUGUAUUGGAGUAUAGUACCAAACCCAAUUACACUCGGCUACACAGGAUUACACCUAUUGGGAAGUUAGAUGGUCAUUGUGUUAUCUUAUUUCAAGUUGGAAUAGCCAUCCUAGUAUGAAGAACACGUCAUGCGCACACAAGUCUCAAGUUUCUUAUCGACAGCAUACAGUUCAACUCUAACUUGUACGUAUUGGAACUCGAACCCACCAUUACAAAAGAAGAAUGAAAUACUACUUACAUGGAUAAGAAAUUCCUUGGACGUGAGGAUACGAUUGCGAAUCAUCCAUGGGGCACUGGAAAAACUGGAUUUGUACAAAUUAUAUGUCAAAUGGGCGUGUCAAUAGUAUAAUAGGUAAUUUAAAAUAGCAGUUAGAGUAAAGAUAAGAAUGAGAGAUUGACCUCAAAGUCAAUUUGAUUGGUGCCAAUUCAAGCAUUUCAAUAUAAAUUUUCUUCUUGGUUCGGGCUAACAGAUAAAUUUCCUGCCAUGGGGCUCCAAUUGGUACGAUGGAAGGCAAUGAUGCAAUUCUUAGAGGACGCUGGUCAGCACUUAAUCUGAAAUUCUCACUAGUAUGAACAAAUAAGGAUGAAUCCUUUAGUGAUACCCCAUCAUAGUGAUUUGAAGAUGGCACGAUUCCAAACUGCUGCCCCGAAGAGAAAUUUGUAAAGAACUCAAAUAAGCUCAAUAUAACUCCUUGUUCGAUCUCGAGAUGGAAAUCUGCUAUCCUGCAAACAUUAAGCAAAAUAAAAAAUGACUUAUAAACACCAAAAAAUACCAGUAAUAGUGAACUAUAAGUGAUGCAACAAAGAUGGGAAAAAAGAAACCUCAUUUUUAUGUAUUCAAAUGAAAUAAAUGAAAUGUCUUUCUUCCUCCAUUUUGAAAUUUCUAAGCACAUCACAGGAGUAGAAGAGCUGCUUCCGAAACUCUUCUGAUUUAAUUUUUCAAUUCUUGUUCUCAUGACAUCAUCCCUCGACUUUGUGUUGUCAACUUGGCAGGAUCUAUAUCCAUUAUUGAAGGACAACAAAACUGGAUAGGGAGUAGAGCGCAACUGGUUGUCAAUUUGUAUGAAUGAUAUCAUCAUGGAAAGCCUUUGGCGAUCCAAACUUUGCAGGAGGUUUAUUUCUAUAUCUUUAAUACAGGCAAAAAGCAAUUCCUACAGAAAUAAAAGUACGAUUAACAGAGAUCACAAAGAUAUAAGAGCUCCAAUAAAGAAAGCUCACAGUCCAGUUACCUGUGGGUAUGAAUUAAUCAAAGAGAUCCCAAUAUAUUGAAUACAAAUCGAUAUUUUCUCCUUAUAUUCUGCAGGCCUAACUUGGCUAUGAUCACAUAACCUUUUCUCUGCGGCAUGUUGGACACUUGAAUUCUUCACAUCAUUAAAAAUAUGGUAAUUUGAAUCAAGAACACUAAGGACCUGAAAGAAAAAGACAUUAUCCAUGAUGGCAAGGGUCGUGAUUUUUCAAGUCAGGUAUCUUUAGUCAAAUACUAUGGAUUUACCUUUGUUGCUCCCUCUGCAUGGACUGACAAAAAGAAUGUCCUCUCUGGUUUCUGCAAUCAUCAUUUACAUAAGCCAACAUUAUCUAGAGAGUUAGUCAUUAACUUGGUAGUAUAAAAAAAGAUGUAACAUUCGGGGGGAGCAAAAACAGAAGGCACAAUAGCCAAUGGUAGCAAACAUAAGUGGCUGAACGAGGGUUGGUCAACAACAGGAAAUUGAAGAUAGGUAGUGACGAACCAACACCUGGUGCAAGACAAGCGAAGGAAAACGAGCAGAAUAGUGGCACCAGGAAGGUAAACAAAGGCUUGGAAACUGGCGAUUGGUUUACAGGAAUUUGCAAGAAGACAUGCACAUAGAGGCAUUUGAGAAUGUUUCGGAGAUGAGGUUCUCAGGUCUAAAUGAAAGCCAACAGAAGCGGAUGGCAAUGGACAGCAUUGCAGAUGGAAGAUAGCACUUGACGGAAUUUCUGCCCGUAAUAAAGUUGCUCAAAGGAAAAUGGAGGCACUGGACAGUGAUGACUGUAAUCAAGAAGACUUGGAGUUUGCAUGGCUGCAAUAAAGGCAGCCGAAGCUUUGCAAGAGCAAUCUCUCCUAGAUCAGGAACUCUAAUAUCAAGUGGAAAUAGGUUGCGAAGAGAAAUUAUAAAUACCAUUCACUAGGAAAAAUGUAUAUAGCUUAUUUACAAUUUAUAUACCUAUAACAGGAAAAAAAACUAUAACAAGAAAGGAAAUAAACGCUAAAAGAGAGAAAGUAAUAUCACUUGAAUUAACAGUUAGUUUGUCCAAAAAUAUUUCUAAUUUACAUUAUGUACAGCAUUGUUUUACUAACUUAAUGAGACCAUUGCAAAACGUUUUACCUCAGAGGUUGAUGGCAAGUGGACAGGCAUAUACUCUUUAACAUCAUCAAGGGCAUAUGACCCCAAAACCCGCUCUCCAGGUACCUUCCAUUUUUGUAACAAGCAUGUUAGGCCAUGUAAUUUAUGGCUUUCAUUGUACUAAAUUAAAAAAAAUAAACAAAAAUACCUCCACAAUAAGGCGGCGUGGAUAGCAGGGUUCAUCCCAGGUAUAAGGGUAAGAAGAAUAGCUGUGAAUGACUGCGUCAAAUAUUUCACACUUCUGCUGAUAUAUUCGCAGUCUCUAGAAAGUAGCAGGAAAAACAUAAUUUCAGUCAUAAAGGGAUUAAGAAUAUCUCUAGAAAGUAGCAAGAAAAACAUAAUAAAUUUCAGUCCUAAAUGGAUUAAGAAUAACAUAAAGUUCAUGCUCCUUUGAUGCAACAACUUAAUCACAACCAAUACUACUGGAGUAUUGGUAGAUGCACUUAGAUGAAAAUAUAGACAAAAGACAAAACCAUCUAAAUAAAAGAAGUAGCACUACAGGGACCAGAAGGUCUGUAAUGCGACUGAAAAACUAGAGACAGACCUCCUUCGAGAAAUUAUCAAUUCUGUACGGCAUGUAUCCUGUAUCAUCAUCUGACAAAAGAAUCAAAUUGGUCCCUGAGUUUCCCUUGAUGCUUCCAAUUACUUUUUCAUCUCCCAUUGAUAUGUCAGCAUUUUGCACUUCAACUCGUAUCAUGUUUGAAGUCCCAGAAAUAAAGUUCCUCAUUUUCAGUAGUGUAUCACCCAGAUGAUCCGGUAAAAAGCUGCCAGACCAUUGCCAUCCAGAUUCGUUAUAACAAGUUGAAACAAGCAGCUCCCUGCAUGACAUAUUAGAAUAGAAAUAGUUCAAACAAACAAGAGAAAGAGAUGAAGAAAAUAUCAAUGGUCAAACGAACUAUCCAUGUUCAAGAUAGCCACACAAAAAAACUAUCCAAAAUAAAUACCUAGCCGUAUCUGUCCAGUGAAGAUGAGCAUGUUCUCCUACUCCUAAAUAAAACAUGGCAUCAGUGCCCUUCUGCUUAUAAGAUAUUUCCUUGCUGCAAGCAUUGCUAAUCACAUAUCUGCAUAUUUAGAGAUCAUUAAUAAGACGGAAUGAAACCAUGGUAAACACUUUUAGGUGUCUAUCAAGAAACUCGCUAUCGUAAAAGCUUGUAGGAUAAGACUAAAAAAUAAGUUAUAAACAAUAUCCUAACAUGAACCCCUUUCUAAAUUGAAGGGUGAAUAAAGCUGAGCCAUACACUUAUCAUUCACACAUGUUCAAUUAAAUCAAGAAAAUAUCUUUUCAAAGGUUCAAUUGAUUUCAUUGCAUUAUCUGAAAAAUCAUAUAGGAUAUAAACAUCAAUCCUUGAUAUUUUAAGAAACAAGAAACUUUCCAUCCUAACUAAAGAUCCCUAGACCAUCAAUCUAGGUUCAAUAGACUGCCAUAACAAGGAUACGAGCUGAGAAUUGGCCUUCUUCCAUUCUUCUUUCUGAGGAGCAGUAAUGUCAGAAACCUUCUUAGAAGGAUGUACCCAUAAACCAAAUUUCAACAGCUUCAAGUAGUUCUUCCCAUCAAGCUUUUUCGAGGUAAUGGUAGGAGAUACGCUAAAUGCACACGAACACCAAAUUCUUCUUCGGCAGGUGAUCUUCGGACAGGUCAGCCCUGAAGAAGAUAGAAAAACACCCAAACACAGAAAAGGGUCGAUAAACCAGUGUGAACAGUGCACAAUGGUGAGAGGCGUAAAAAACAAGGCCAAAACAGGGGACCCAAAAAAUCAUAUCUGACCUCAGACGUCAAAACAGGGGCCAAAAACAGAGAACCCAGCAAGAAGAACGCACAGCGGAGAGAGAUGUCAAAGGGAGACGUAAAAAACAGCAGACCCAAGAACCAAAAGGGGUCAAAACGCAAAGAGUAAGGCAGGGCGAUCACGACGAUGGCAGAAAAAAGGCAAGUGGCCUGGCACGUGCACUUCAAACGCCGGCGAACCUGCAGUGUUGUGGCAGUGGGUGGGAGGCUGUGCAGCAGUGAAACUUCGACUGAAGGAAGAUCGGCGGCCUCUGGUUCUGUUGGCGGGGGUCGUGAAGUCACCGGACCACUGGAAAAAAUGGGGGCAGUGGGGCACGGUGGCGGCUGAAACCCUAACCCAAAAAAACUAAAAGCUCUGGAUACCAACUCGAAUCUGAUGAAAAUAUUUUGUGUAUUUCAUCGACAUGAUUGUACAAUUUAUAGAUACAACAAACAGAUGAUUCUACCUUAAUGGAUAACACAAAUCAAAAAUAGAGAAACUAUAUGAUAAACCUUAUCUUUUUUUCUAUGAGAUAAAGUAAAUCUAAAAUAGCAGACUAAGUCUUAAAAAAGUGAAUGGUAUAUUAUAUUUCUAACAGAUUUCAUUGCAUUAAUCAGAAUAAUCAUACAAAAUAUAUGCAUGAGACCUAUGCUAGUUCAGAAAAUAAGAAAACUUUCUAUCCUAAGUCCUAACCAAGACCCCUUGGUUUAAGGGAUUUUCCUAAUAACACAAAUCUGUACAUCCUCACAAAUUUCCUAAAAUACCACACAUGAUUUCCAACAUAAGCAAAUACCAAACUCGUGACUUCAUCAAAGAAGAUUUAGUACGGUGUCAUCGAACCCACCAAAAACUGUAAACUUUAAGGGGAGGUUCACAAAUAGAUUUCAAGAUUCAUAAAUAACAGUAUCUAAUAUCUAAGUACCACUUUAUUACCUAGGCUGGAAAGUAAUUGCAUGUGUCCUUCCAGCAUAUUCAGCGACUGAGCUAGAUGUCACAGCUAGAAUGAAUGCAGAAUUUGAACUCAACUGAGGAACAUAGACAGUACUUGAACCACUUGGUGGCAGCAGAGAAAAUGGAUUUGACCAUAAAGAAUAUGGAAAUUGUUUCCUGACAUCAUCUGGAAAACAUCUACUCACUUUAACAAAAACAUCAUUUAUAGAGGAAUUGGGGCUUGGAGAAUACAUGCAUGGCCAAACCUUUUCAGGCUCAUUAUUACAAGGACCUGAAUCCUUCCUAGUUGACUGGUUGCUUGACCUCAUUGUACUCGCCAGUUUUUCUAAAGAAUCACUUUUGCUUUGUUGCCUUCCCAAAUUUUCAUGGUAGUUACCAAAGAGCACAGAGUUCCUUUUAUAACUAACGAAGUUUGGACCACCAUCCUCUCUGCAUGAAAUGGUAUGAUUCUUUAGAUGAUUCAUUGGCGUACAAGGAACAUCAGCAUGCAGUUCAUGGUUGGAUAUAAGAAGAGAAAGACCAUCCUUUUUGUCCGAAAAUGUUUCUUUUUCACCCAAGUCAUCAUAAGAAGGAAUGACAAACCCCCUCUCAUUGGUUUCACCAGUGGUUUCCGUUACACACAAGGGAAAACCCAUACAGUUAUACAAAAUAAAGGGAACAAAUAUAAUCAGUUCCCUACUGCCGGAAUAUGCAUCCAUCACCUUCUCCACGGUAACAUAAACAGGGCCUACAAGUGAGCAAGAAAAUACUUUAAAGGAUGGAACUACAAAACAAUACAUACAAGAUGGAAUCUACAAAUAAAAUCAGUUACCAUUGGAAUUAUUUGGUUCCAGUAUCAGGGUUUCAGAAAAUGAAAACUUGGUUUCACUAGACUUGGCCAUUGAGCAGAAUGUUUCUAAACGCGGAAAUUUAAAAUCAGAACAUUUAAAUCCAUCAAUGCAGAUCUUCAGUCCCAGGUCAUGUGAGGGAUCGAUAUGAUACACAGAAGUAUCCACCUAGAAAAUAAAAUACGUAGUUACACCACCAUAAUUAACAGGUGUAUACAUUAUCGGUUUCUUAAUAUAUUAUCAACAAUGUAUACAAAGAAAGGACUAUCACAAACCUCCGAAACUUUCACAGUGUGAUCUACCCCACCACUCUCACUAAUCAACAACAUUUCCUCAGGAAGGUAGUUGUAAACUACUAAUGGAGCACUUAGGAUGAAAUGAUGAAUAUAACGCUUUGCAUCAUCUGUGGACACAUUAUUUUUCAACCGUCCAGACGAACUCAAGCUGACACUUUUAACUGACAUACAGCACCGAAAUGGAUGACUACUUGGAAGAGAUGGAUAGCACAUGAAAGAUUUAAGAUUUCCUACAUCUCCAUUUAUAGAGAGAAGAUUUGAAAGGUUAUGAGCUUCACUCCACAAAUAAGAAUUCCCUGUCGGCCGCCACCUUACACAACCAGCUUCAGCCAAAUGCAGUGGAAGUGGUAACUGUUGCCCAGGGUGUAUUGGAUCUAAUAUCUGAGGUAAUGAAAUUAUACAUCAUAAAGCAAUAUCAUAAAAUAACAAUGCACUAUCAAUUGAAAUUGUGAAGAUGACAUAGAAACUCAUGUACCGUUGGUGAGACACCAAAUGGAAUAUCAAACCGCAGCUCAAGAGGUGUAGAAGUUGCAUUUAGAAGUACAACCUGUAUGCCAAAAAGUUAGCUUAUAAGUAAAAAGGAGGCCUGAAGUAAAUGGAAAACAUCAUUAAGAAAACUUAUAAUCACUUUCUACAUACAGUGGAAUAUAUUCGAAUUAACUUGCUAUAGCGCAGCAUAGAAACAUCAAAAACAACUGGAACAACAAAAGUAGCACCGCUAUUCAUUCUGCCACCUUGGCCGUUCUGAUUAUACGUCUUCGAGAAAUUAACCUCAAAGCAUGUUAGUCCCACUAAAUCCAUGGAAAUUGGAUCAGAUGGCAUAGAUGCCCCGUCAAGUUGUACAGUAAUAUAAUGAUGAGUAAAACCGCUUGAACUUUGCUCAUUUAGACUAUCAGAAGAAUUAGAAUGCCUGUAAUGUGAGAGUCUCUGUUCAUCAUUUUCAUCCAGGUAUACUGAAAUUGCAGAACCUGGUUGCACAUAAUUUGCAUGAUUCUCAUCAGAUUCAAAAAUUUCAUCAGGAUUCGAGGACCCGUGAUAUAUGUGAUAUAGAAGAGGAACAGAUGUCAAGUUUUGCAGAACGUAAGGAGCAGCACAUCUUUUAGAAGACAUAUUCUGAGGACAUGAUGAGUGUGAAAGUUCGUUGCCUUCAAGAUCUUUUGAUCCUUUCAGACCCAAGGCAUCAUUCAGAAUUUCAAUAGCAUGUGAAACACACUGCAAGAAACAAAGCUAAGCAAAAUUUACAUUGGGUAACUUUUAAUAAUGAUAAGCUGGAUGUAUAUAAAGAAGAAACCCAAGGUAAACUGACAAAUACUGGUAUAUCAAAAACCUCUAAAAAAAGUGUAGAUCGUCAAGAUUGAAAUUCAGUUGCUGACACAAGGCGAAGAGAAAUUUACAAAUCCAUGUUAAAAAUAAAAGAUGAAAAAAGGAAACCCCUUGUUAACAUAUAAUCAGAAGAAGAAUGUAACAAUAAUCUCUUCAUGCUAUUAGAGCAUUGUUGUAACAAACUUGACCGAUAAUAUGAGUUCGGACUUUCUGUUACAGUUAGAGUUAGGUUUCUCUCUACUCUAAAACAUGCCAAUGUAUUUAAGCAUUCGAAGGAGACAAAACAUUUAAGAUUAAACAAGAAUAAAGAAACAUGGACAUAGGACAAUUGAAAAAUGCAACUAUCAUUAUAAAUUUUAGGUUUAAAUGAAUUGUGCUUACAUUUUUUAACAGAGUUAGACUAUUAUAAAUAUAGGGCCAAUGGACUAUCAUGUUGUAAAUGCACAUCAAAUGACCACCGACCAAAUAUUUGUUAUUUCCACAGUUGUCUUCAGAGAGACUGGAAAGAGAUGAUCCCAAGUGUAAUAUCAAAUAAUAAGUUCUCAUCAACAACAUAAAAGAAGGAAGCAAAAGUUUAUAUACCUCAACCAAGGAUUCUGUAAUAUUAAUGUUCAGCUGAGUUCUUGAACUGAUAACAAUAUCUGUUGAAACAGGCCUGUUCGGAAGAACAUUCAUUUCUUGAUCCCUAACUAAUGUCAAUAGAAACUGCCAAGGCUCAAUAAAAGGCUCCCAUGACACCUUCAAUUUUGCAGCAUACAAACAUAUCAGCCAUUGUUAAUGUCAUAGGAUUAAAACAAUAACAUAGGUAUAUACCAGGGGGGAAAAAAACCAAUGGUAAUCUCAUCAGAACACCUUUUCAAUAUUUUUGUAGUUUACUUGAAGAUCGCCAGUAAUAGAACAGUCCACAUGCUUUCCAAUUGCAACGGCAUGGAAGAGGAUGGUUCUGAUGAGAAUCUCCAACUGAGGCCCAUUAUAGCUCCACUACAAGUAACAAAAAAGAGGCUUAUAACAAGUUACAAUAUAUAACAUCAGGAAUAAACAUUUUCUUUUUGUCAGUGUUCAAGGGCUAUGUUAUUAUCCUAUAGGCUUAAAUAAAUCUCCUAUAGUAUCAAGUCAAUCCUAAGAACCCCUUGACCACAUAGGGAUUGCAAUGCACUGGCCAUUUCAAUAAUGCUGCAAAAUGAGGUAUAUCCUCCAGUAAGUAAAGAAUUUGUGUUCAAGUGGCUUGCUCAAAAUACCUUCCAUGUCAAUGAAUUAUUGUUGCCAAGUAGUAGAGUAGACAAAUAUAUUGGAAAAAACAAAACAAAACAAAAAUUCAUGGGAUGUUGAGUAUAGGCAGGAAAACAAAUUUCAGAAUUGAAUACUAAUGGUGCGUCCAUGUGUUAAAAUUCAUAAGUUAGAACCACACGCCACCACAAAACCCUAAGCUUAAGGCAAUAUGGGUGUGUGUCUUUUAUUUUAUAUACACUUGUACACUAGCUAAUCUACCACUAGCUAAUCUACCAGUUAGAAGUCCUGCAAAUCUCACGCUCCAGAUGUCCAGCCCUGGGCGUGAGGGGGAAGCUAUUACUAUUAUACUCUAAAAGGGGGUGUGUUAGGAGUCCCACAUUGGCUAGAGAUAUGGCAUAGAUAGCCUUUAUAAGGGUAGAGCAACCCUCAACUCUUGAGCUAGCUUUUGGUUUGAGUUAGGCCUCCAAUGUUCUAAUACGGUAUCAGAGUCUAUCCUAAAUCCGUCUGUUGGUGUUGACCUCCCACAUUAGGGUCACUUUGUACAUGUAGAUGUCCAAUCCUGCAAAUUUCACGCUCCAGAUGUUCAGCCUUGGGCGUGAGGGGGUGAAGGAGGCCUAACUCAACCCAAAAGCUAGCUCAAGAGUUAAGGUUUGCACACGCCCAGUGUAGAACAUCUGGAGCGUGGAAUGAAACGGGUGGCCCAAAUAUGGGAGGUCUCCACAACAAAUGGAUCUAGGAUAGGGGCCCAGGCCCAUGGUCAAACAACCAUUGGCUCUGAUACCAUGAAGGAGGCCUAACUCAACCCCAAAGCUAGCUCAAGAGUUAAGGUUUGCACAACCAUAUAUAAGCAAUUGCUUGGCCACAUCUCUAGCCAAUGUGGGACUCUAACAAUCCUAGAUUAGCAAGUGCACAAGUGCAUAUAAAUAAAGAACACGCACACCCAUUGCCUUAAGCCUAAGGUUUUGCGGUGUUGUGUGGUUCUAACUUAGGAUUUCUAACAUGGUAUCAGAGCUGGUCUGAUCCAAGCCAUGACUUCUGCUUCCCAAAAAAAAAAGAAGCAAAAAUGGCAGUCCCAUUUGCGCAAGCCAAGGCCUCAGACUCAGACAAAGGAGCACAAGUCCAAGGAACUCCGAUGUUCCCGCUAGAGUACUAGCCCAGACAAAGAAAGUCGAAAGGCAGACUCAGACGAAGGAGCACAAGUCCGACGACCACUGAUGUUCCCGCUGGAGUGCAAGGCACAGGCAAAAAAAAAAUUAAAAAAAAAUGGAGUCCCAAUUGAGGGAGAGUAAUAGAGAUAAUAAAGUGGUGACUCAAAGAAGUCCCACAUUGCCUAGAUUAGCAAUUGCACAAGUGCAUAUAUAAUAAAGAACACAAACACCCAUUUCCUUAAGCCUAAGGUUUUGCGGUGUUGUGUGGUUCUAACUUAGGAUUUCUAACAGGUGUGUUAGAAGUCUUACAUUGGCUAGAGAUAUGACAUAAAUAAUCUUUAUAAAUGGUAGAGCAACCCUCAACUCUUGAGAUAGCUUUUGGAUUGAGUUACGCCUCACUAAUCUGAAUAUGGUAUUGGAGUCUAUCCUAGAUUAGUUUGUUGGUGGAAACCUCCCAAUUGGGGCAUCCUGCAAAUGUCCAGUGCAAUUCCCAUGCUUCAUAUGUCUAUCCCUGGACGUGAGGGGUGUGUUAUAAGUCCUACAUUGGCUAGACAUAUGACAUAGAUAGCCUUUAUAAAGGGUAAAGCAACCUUCAACUCUUGAGCUAGCUUUUGGGUUGAGUUAGCCCUUAUAAAGGCUAUCAAUGUCAUAUCUCUAGCCAAUGUGAGACAUAUUUGAGUCUCCACUUGGUAUUCUCUAAUACUCCCCCUUCAAGUGGGACUCCAUUUUUUUUAUCUUCUCCUUGCAUGGGCUUGUACCCGUUCGUUCGAGUCUCUGAGGCCUUACGACUUGUUUUGCAUGGGCUUGUACUCCAGCAGGAACAUCAGUGGUCUUCAGACUUGUGCUCCUUCAUCUGAGUGUUAGAGGCCUUAUGACUUUCUUUGUCUGGGCUUUGUACUCCAGCGGGAACAUCAGUGGUCAUCAGACUUGUGCUCCGUCGUCUAAGUAUCAGACUUUACGGCUUACUUUGCCAUAGGCUUGAGCUCAGCGGAACGUCAAUAGGUGUUAGACUUCUGCUCUUGAGUCUCAGAGGCUUGUACUUUAUAUACUUUUUUUUUACAUUAUUUUUUCGAGAUUAUUUUUUUGAAAUUUUUUUUCGAGAUUUUUUUUUUGGAAGUAGAAGCCAUGGCUGAUUUUCUUGCGUGCAGGGUGUGUUAGAGAUAAUAAUAUAAAAUCAUUCAUAGCCCUUACCCAAUAGCUUAAACUUUUGGGAUAAUUGGUUCUUUAACAGAUAUUAUGAUAGGAACUCAAGGUUUGGGGUUAGUUAGUUAGUUAUACUUAGUGAGUUAGUUAGAAUGUUGUUGAGGCAUUUAGCCUAUAAAUAACAGACAUUAGAGAGUUAGGGGUAUCUUGGUAUUCAGUUAGGUAUUGGGAUUAGAGAGAGAAGUGGUUCUCUUUCUAGGGUUAGAGAGGGUGUUUGGCAUCUAUCACAUGUAUCUUUCCCCAAAUCCCCAAUUGGGAAUUAGGGUUCUAUCAAUAAACUACUGCUAAUUUUCUGGUUUCUAUCAUAUUAUCAUAAGAAAAUGAAGGGAUGUGAGAGAAAAUGUAAGAGUUUCAGUGACAAAGAAAGCAAAAGAUAAUCAAUGGGAUGAAUGAAGGCGAAAAGAAAAAAUAAAGCCAUAUAUUGGAGAAAGAAAAAAUAUACCUUUCCAUCUGUUAGGAGAAUAGAAACCUUCCUCAUCUGGAAUUUAAAAGUAAUGUCACUAGUUGAAUAUUGAGAAGAUCCUGAUUUGGGGACAUCAAAUUUUAUAUCACCCAACAAAAGCACCGUAGGAUGUGAGAGCCAUACAUCUGCAUGAUCACAUAAAAUCUCAACUUUGAGUUCUAUGGUAUCUGUAUGAUUUUUAUAGAGGACAGCGUCCAUAUGAACCCGAAUUAUAUCAAGCAGUGGCCAAGAUGUAUGCCUUCCACUCUCAACAAUUAUUAUUACACAGCUCAAUUUUUCCAUACUGGACUUCAGAUGAAUAUCCCUGCUUCUCAUAACUAAAUCAAAACCAUUCACAUUGAAAGAAACAGUAAGAAAUUUCGUGUCUUUUUCUUCAAUAAUAUCAGAAGAUACACGUAAAGGUGUCACCUUUAGACUUUCAGCAAUCUGAAAUUCGACACAUGGUUCUUCACUAGCCAAGACAGGGAUGUGAAAUUUAACACAAAUGUUUUCUGACCGAAUUACCAUUAAGACAACAUUCUCAAUUUCUUGUGCUGCAAAAGGUGCUGACGCGCCUUCAGAAUCAAGGGAACAAGAAGCAUCUUUAACUACCUCUUUUUUCACCGAAUUAACAGCAUUGACCGGCAAACUCGUAGAUGCAACAUCUAUAGGAGUUUCAUCCAAAUGUACACUUAAAUCAUUGAGAAACUUAAAAACCUCAGUCCACUCGGACAAAUGAAGCCAAAUAUCAAGAGACGAAAGAUGAAAGCUGAGUUCAUUCUUAAAGUCAACAGAUUUAGAUAAACAUAUGCCAAGUACUACCGUUGAGAUGGGAGUUGAGGUGCAUUUAGCUAGGACUGAUUCGUGUGAGGAGUAUAAUACCAAGGAGGAGAAACCCAAGUCUAACCAUUCCAAUGAAUCAUCUAUUAAGGAUGCAGAACAAGUAAAGCGCAAAUCACCCUUGGAUAUUAAUUUCACAAAAUCAUCAUGUCUAUGAGAGCAGCUUAUCAAUAAAGAUUCGGUGCAACAUUUAACUUCAGUCAACACAAUCGUUGAGGUCAUCGGAGUCGGAGAAUUGACUCCAGUUGUCAUUAGGCUUCUCUUUGAAUGAAGGAAUUGCAAAACAUCUGAUUUGAAACAUUUGGAUUGAUCGCCAAUUGUGGAGAAUUCCUCAAUAACAUCCUGUAUGGCCAAACAUCCAUCAAGAAAGUAGCUAUCUGUUUGUGAAGGAAACUUUCAUAAGUACAACCACACAUUGAAACAAUAUAAAAGUACAUGAGCAAGAAAAGUAUGGCUUAAAUAAGUUGAAGGGUAACCUUCAGCAAUAAGUUGACAACUUCUGAUGCUUGUCAUGAAACAUAAAGACGAAGAAUAGUUAUUGCAAUUAGUUCCACCUCCGCAUGGAAUUCUGACCCAAACAUCAGCAUUUAUGGGCGCAAUUAGAGAAGUUGAUAUAAAUUCCGCAUUUUCAAUUGUUGCCAAGCCAAGCAUAUCUUUCUUGUUCUUGUACAAAAGGAAUGAUACAAACAAGUCCCGCCCAAACACAUUCAAACAACUAUUUCUUUUGGCAAGCUUUUGAAUAGGAACAAAACACUCGGUAGGAAUGUCCUUCAAUGCAUCAUCAAAACCCAAAUUCUCGACAAAACUACAAUAAAGCUGGGGUAUUUCAACCUUCAGAAACUGAUGUUCAUUACUUUCCACUGGCAAAAUAAGAACAGAGUCUAAGAUUUCAAAUUUAUAUGUAAUGCUCGUUUCAUUUUUUGGCUCUUCAAAAGAAGACAGGUCACUUGAUUCGCCAGCCCAAUCAGAUAAUGAAAAGUACCCAAUGAUGAUGGACAGAUACUCAGAGGGUAACAUGCAGUACACAUGCUGAACGCCGAUGCUUAUUUCCAAAUCGACAGCUGAAGGUUUGUCCUGUGGUUUCCUAACCCUUACAUUUAAAAUAGGAGAAAUAUUUUCUGAGGAGGGACCCCAUAGAUAAUCUUGAAAAUUUCGAGGCCCCCAUGAUGAUGUAAGAACCAAUCCUUCAGAAGAAGACAAUAUAUCUAUAUUGUCUUCACACAAUAAUAGAGAAGUUUUAGAUGUAGGCACCGUGAUUGUUCCAAUAAUGCACGAUGAGUCAUGAAAAUGUACUCUUAUUCCAUACAGUUGCAACUCAAUGGAAAAAACAUUAGAGGUUCUCUCAAUCCCUGAUUCAAAUUCAAAAUCAGAUUUACAUUUUGAGGGAGAGCAUUGGAAAAUUUUGGACCCACUUCUCAUAUUGAUUUUGGAACUUCUUAUUUUUCUUUCUCUCAGAGUACAAUAUUUCCUCCAGUCUGGAAUGGCAUACACGAGUGAGCUCUCUAGACUACCAAGAGAACCAUGAUUGUAAAUCGUCACAAACGGAAAGCGAUCAAAUGGAAUGCAUGCAGAGUCAGAGGAGCCAAAAUCAAAAUAAUUAGAGAAUCCAAACUUUUGCAAACCAAAGCUCAAGAAACUUUCUGAAAUAUCAGCAGUUUUACUUUCAGAGGAUUUCUCAAACAUAGUACUAUAUGCAGAUAUCCUAUGAAAGAACCCAAUAAGCAGUCCAGAAAUAUGUGGGUAGCAGCGGAUAUCAGCGUUAUUCAGGUAUAUAAAACACUUGUGAGAUACUAAAUCACUUCUAGGAGAUUCAUAAUGCAUUUCAAAACAUCCAUCAGCCAACAUAGCGCCAUCUGAAUAUUGGUCAAAUUCAAUACUUGGUCCAGGAAACGACUCUUCUCCAACUGCAACACUAGAAGACGGUGAACACCCCGAUAAAAGCACAAAAUGGCAGUCAUUUUCUUCUUUUAUUUUAUGAGCACAGAUCAUUAAAGACUUCGUACUGAUAAGAACCUCUUGGAAUUCUGCAGAAGAAUACCUACAAAUAGAAAAACAAAAUGUAAAAAUUUGUUUUAGUGAACAUCAAUAAUUUCCAUUGUCCUGCAAAGAAAAUGAAGAUUUUAUAUUAACUCAAAUAACUUGGAUAUACCUAAAGCAAUCUAAGGUAACCUGAGAAAGAAGUGACGUCAAACUCAAAUACCAGUAAGAGCUGUGUUGUGAAUCUUAAAUAGCGGCUUAGCGACCGACCGCAAAUAUGCUAUAGUGACGUUACACAGAAUGUAUGUACAGUUUAUAUCUUAUACAAUGUGCAUAUAUAGAAUAACAACAACAAAAGCCGUAUCCCACUAAGUGAGGUCAGCUAGAUGGAUCACACUGCGUCAUUGAGCUUGAUCAAAAACCAAAUUAUGAGGAACAUUAUUGAUAGCGAGAUCAUCUUUAACAAUAUCUUCCCUUGUUUUUUUUGGCCUCCCUCUACCUCUCUUCACAGGACUAAAUACAAUGUUAUCAACCUUCUCACCGAUGCCUCCAUAAGACUUUGUACAUAUCCAUACCACCUUAACCAAUUUUUCGUAAGCAUCUCCACCUAGGUUGUCAAUCUCGGCGGGAUCCCGGCCCAUUUCCAUCGUGAUUCCAAGUUUUCUGAAAAUGCCCUCCAAAUUAAACGUUGUGGUGUUUUUUAGGGGUAUUUCCAGGUUUUCGCAAUGUAAAAACCCCUUGCUCGGUUUUUUAACACAUUGUUCUGCUUAGGUAGCUUCUGCCCUCUCCUCUGCUAAGGUAGGUCUAUGAAUUUUAGUAUUUAAAUAGUAAAGUACCGUGUAUCUUUUUGUUUUUAGUUCUAUUGAUUCAAGGGCCAGCAUUUCUUCAAAUCAUACAUUUGAAGUCAGGAUGCAUACAAUAGUCAAUAUUAAAACAAGCAGACGAACAAAGGCGAACAUACCGUAAGUCCAUGUCAUGUACGGAAACCACAAGCUCUGAGCUGUUAUCUCCACUAUUUUCAAGGUCCACUUCCAAAUCAACAGAACCAAGUUUGGAAAUAAUCGACAAACCAAAUGGAGAAUCUUUUGUAACAUCAGAAACAACCUUAUGAUGAGAAUCACAGUUCAAGAUUUCAGAUUCACCCCUUACAAGCGAUGUGUCCAGAUGAGUAAUCAAUUCUAUGAAUGCGCAAUACAUUGAGGGAGAAAAGUGUGCUUUAAGUGAUUCUAUGAGCACAUAAACCUGAAAUUAAGAAGUAUCUAAACUAAGAGAGACAGAAGACAAAACACAAAAUAAAAAGAAUUACAGAAAAACUACUGUCAGAGAUCCAUGUGUGUGCACGCACUAGUGUAAAGUCAAGUUAAUCUACUUAUAUUAAAUAUUCAAAUAUGCUAAUCACCUCCAAUUGAUUCAAAAUAGACUCAUCAGGGAUCACACAAAAUGCCAGGAAAAUUGAACAGCUAAAUUUCUCUAGAAUAGAAACCAUUUGAGAUUGGUCACACUUCAUUAAGGUGAUCUGCAAUAACAACAAACUAUAGUUACGAAAAUCAGAAGAAUAGAUCACAAAUAUAUAAUUAUAAAUCAAACAUAACAGAACAACUACAUGGAUUCAAACGCUGACCUGAAAAUCAUUUAGUUUAACAUCAAAAUAUUGAUAUAAAUCUUCAAGUUGGAUGCCUAAACAAAUUCCAGAUGAGGAUAUUGUAUUUAAAAAGUUCUUCAUUGUGAAAGGUUGUUCCUCAACUUUUGAAGACAAAGACUCAAGACUUGUGGACUUGAAGCAGAAAGACCUUGACUUCAUUACCUGUCGAAAAAUAACAUCAAUAACGAGCAUUGAACAGGAAAAAAUGAAGAAUCAAAGUGUAAUACAAAAACACAAAGGAAAUAUUCUUCAAGGGAUGUGUUGGUGCUAAAUGAAUAAAUACAACAGCCUGCAACCAGCCCUUUAAGCACAAUAUAUUAAGGAAGCACUAGGAAAUUGUCUCUGGUAUGAAAACAUAACUCAUUUAUAAGUUAUAGGAUACUCCGAUGCAGACUGAGAAGGUUCUCUUGCUGAAAAAGAUCCACUACAAGCUACAGCAUUUUCACUGGUGAGAACUUGAUUGCCUAUAAUUGCAAGAAAAUGACAGUAGUGCUAGGAUAAAGAGCAGAAGCAAAAUACGAAGGCAUGGUUUCCUCUACCUGUGUAAGUUAUGGCUCUAGCAAUUACUUAAAGAAUUGAGGUUUGGGGAAACUACACAUAUGACAAUCAUUUAUGACAAUCAGGCAUCACCGCGCAUUACACCAUUACUUCUUGUAAGGAGAGAAAAGACUAAGAGAGAGAGAGGGAGGGGAGAGAGAGAGAGAGUCAGAGAGAGAUUGUAAUGGGAUACCCUCCUAGGUGCAGCCUCCCUCAUAUAUAUAAUAUUAGGUUAAGAGUAGUACAAAGUGUACAACAAUGUACUUAAAGUACAUAUGGGCUUGGCUCAUAGACUCUACAUCAAGCCCUAACUCUUAACAUAAUCUUUAUCGCUAACACCCCCGCUCAAGCUGGAGCAUAGAUAUUAAUCAUUCCCGGCUUGUUACAAAUAAAAUCAUUAUGCACCCUAUUUCAAAGCCUUUGUAAACACAUCUGCAAGUUGAUCACUUGUCCUAACAUAAGAAGUGGAUAUAAGGUCUUUUGAAGCUUUUCACAGACAAAAUGAAAAUCCACCUUUUCAUCAAAAACUAGAUUUGAUAAGAUAUGCAAGUCAGUCUGAUAAUCACACCAAAGUUUCAUCGGACAUAUGCUCUUAAUUCCCAUAUCACUCAAGAUUUGUCCUACCGAUAUAAGUUCACAUGUGGUUAGAAGCUUUGAGCCAUAGCCCGAAAUUCAGCUUCUACACUUCAUCGUGCCACCACAUUUUGCUUCUUGUUUUUCCAUGAAAUUAAAUUACCUCCCAAAAAAUACACAAUAGCCAGUGGUGGAUUUUUCUAACCAAAGGAUAUCCUCCCAAUCAGAAUCCGAAAAUGUCUCCACUCGCAUAUGUCCAUGAUCGUUGUAUACGAUACCUCUCUCUAGCAAGGUUGUCAGACUCGUGAGUCUAAGCAGAUUCGUUUUGGGUAGGUAGACUCAACUCAUAGACUCGACCCGUAGACUCGUCGAGUCUACCAGAAAUGAAAAAUUACUAAAUAUAACCAUGUCACAUGAAGAACAAAUAUAAACAUAUUUUUAUAAGAGCAUCCAGAUGCAUUUAAUCAAAUAAACUCAAAAUCCAACUUCAUAAUAAAGCAAUUAAGCAAAGUCCAAGGUGUGAUGGCCUUGGACGUCGGAAGUAGGCGGCGGUGCGACAGAAGCAGGCAGCGGAAGCAGGCGAUAGAAGCAAGCAGGUUGAGAGAGAGGAAACGUGACUCGCGAAAACAGUAAUGGAGGCUGAAAUGUGACUCGCUGACUAGGUCAUUGACUCGCGAGUCCACCGAGUCUACCGAGUCUGAGCAAAAAACGAGUCUGCUGUCGAGUCAACCCAUUUUCCUCACCUAGACUCACGAGUCUACCGAGUCUACAAGUAUACUCGCGAGUCUGACAACCUUGCUCUCUAGGGCUUUCUUCAAAUACUUAACAAUGUGUGUCUGCCAGGGAGGUCAUAAACUGACGUACAACACUCGCUGGGAAAGCAAUAUAUGGCCCGGUGACAAUCAAGUAAUUCAGCUUACCCACCAAUCUUCUAUAUUUUUGUGGGUCAGAGAAAGGAACUCCUUGUGUUGUGAGUUUCAUUCUUGGUUCCAUAGGGUUCUCACAUGGUUUAAAUCCCAUAAGACCAGUCUUAGCUAGCUAAGCCAAAACAUACUUCCUUUGCGAUAUGAGAAUCCCAUUCUUCGAGAACAUAAAUUCAAUGCCCAAAAAAUAGGUGCAUAAAUUCAACUCUUCACAUAAUCUUCGAUCCCUAACAGUUAUUUAUGUAACAAACUUGGUUCAUAUGAUUUCUGUGCUCAAGCUUGAGGGGGAGUGUAAGAAAGAUGUAAAUAUGGUUUAUAUCAUUGUAGUUAUGGUAACUGAAAAUCUUGUAUUUAUGUCUUGAGUAUAUAUAUAUAUUAUCCUUCGUUGUAUAAUUAAAACACACGUUCUAUAUCUCCCAUUUUUCACUCUUAACAAAACUAAUUAAGACACAUCAUCUUAAUAAAAUAAGAAGCAAAUAAAUAUAGGGCAAUAAGAAAUAAUUAAUUAUAAAGAAUAAUCUAAAUUACUCUAAGAUAUGAUCAAGAUAUUAUAAGUUAUCUUUUUAUAUUCUAAUACUCUCAUUGAUGCUAAAGUCUAGGUUUAAGCGUGUUACAAAUCUAUAAAUUAGAAAAAGAAAAAUAACAAGGGACAUAAUUGAUUAUUUGGCACUGUUACAAGGCCAAAAUGAUUCUGUAGGAUUUUCGUGUGGCCAAAAAAUAAAACAAGGCUGACGCAAUUGUAAAUGAGCAACAACCAAACAAAGACACUGAAACAGGGCAAAAAGAGAAUCUUGGUGCAAAAUGAAGACAUUGAGAAAAGAAAGCCAAAGCACCUAUCAAUCAAAAGAACACUUCUACAAUCAAAGGGAUCCACAUUAGUUGAAGCAAGAAUUUAAUGUUUUCAGACACAAUUCAUACCCACACUGAGAAAUACUGUGUUGGAACUCAAUGAAGAUUUUGAUUCUUACUUCCCAGAAAUAACAAUAUGUUGUUUUACAUAGGCUGCUGGUAAAGGUUUAUCAGGUGGAACUGAGGUACAGUAGAUAAAGGAUUCAUUUAGGCAGUAUAACAUAGACAUCUAGAAUAACAAAAGCAAGGUAUAACAAAAACAAGUAAAAACUCAAUAAUACAAGCCGGUUGCCCUAUCUGUUCUGCAAGCUAAAAAGACCAACCGCCUUAAAAUAAUUACAGAAAACAGAAGCCACAAACAUCACGUUAUCACAUAACAGAUUACAUAGCAGAGACAACUUUUUCAAAGAGAAAGCAUUCUACCCAAAUGAACAACGGCACAAAAGUUUCAGCUCUUCGACAAACCACUUACGAAUCCAACAUAAGUGCCUCAAAGUUGAACAUCCAAAGAACUACAAAAUGGCAGAUCCAAAAGCCAGCACAACACAAAGGUUGUUCAACAAAUUAAUUGGUUCACUACAGUCAUCAAACGAUAAUGGAUACAAAUAAAAUAUAUAGUUUGAAAAUAUGGAGGAGUUACCAAGUUGCUAUACUCUGAUGCUGUAUUUCUCCAAGGAAAAUUAACGGAAAUGUCAAAAAUGGUAAAAUCCCACAUUAGAUUCUUAUGGUUCAAAGAAACAUAUCUGCAGAUCAGAUGAAGUGCAUUAGUUAUAACUUAGUUUAAGAAAUUAUGACAUUAAAGAGAUGGUUUGAGUAAUUGCAAAACGCAACAUACUCUACUUUUGAUAGGAGCCGAGUAUAGUCAUUUCCAAUUGCAUUCAGUGACAACAGCACCUGCAGUUUGACAGAAAUAACAGAAAUUUAACUCAAUUUAAUGCAAAAACACAAGAAUAUUUGUAUACUCUAAAGAGAAUUUCAAGAAGAUAGAGAACACAGAAACAUUCUCUUCCAUAGACUACAGCCUUCCAUGUUGCUCCGACUAUUUCAUAGAGCCCAAUGUUGCUCCGACAAUUGCAUUCAGUAACCAAUUCAUUGAGCUAACACAAUACAAUCAGUUGUUAUAUAUCAAGCUGUCACCUUCAGCACCAUAACUAAGGGCUUGUGUGGUACGUCGUAUUAGGACUGAUAGUAUAAGCUUAUACAAUACAUUAUGAGUUAUCCAUCGUUUGGUUCUAACAUUGUGUUGUAGGCUUAUCCGUCAAUCCACUCUUCUACGUUAAAUUGAUGGAUUAUUUAAUCCAUUCUACAAAUGUAGGAUAAGACCUGAUGAGAGUAGUUAUAUUGAAUAAUGGAAUGCUAAAAUGGAAAGAACCUUUUCCCUCACAAAGAAGAUAUCAAGCUCCAUAUGUUUGGUGCGAGUAUGAAGAACAGGAUUAUGAGUGAGAGCAACUGCACCCAUAUUAUCACAAAAUACUCGAGGUGGAGAAAAGGGAACCUGAAGCUCUUGCAAUAAUGACUGAACCCAAAGUAAUUCUGCUGAUGUAUUGGCCAGGCUGCGAUAUUCUGCCUCUGUGCUAGAUCUAGCAACCAAGGUCUGUUUCUUGGAGCUCCAAGAGACCAAAUUUGGACCAAAAAAGACACAAGUGCCCGAGGUUGAUCGUCUGUCAUCAGGGUCAGAUCCCCAGUCAGCAUCACAAAAGGCCACAAGAGGGACAGAAGUGUGUAAGGAACAAGGCCUAAGGUGAAGACCAUGAUGUAUGGUGCCUUUAAGAUACCUAAGUAUUCUUUUGACAGCCUUCCAAUGAUCCUCCAAGGGCUGGCUGAGGAAUUGGAAAACCUUAUUCACUGCAAAGCUAAUCUCUGGUCUUGUCAAAGUAGCAUACUGCAGAGCACCAACAAUAGACCUGUACAAUGUUGGAUCUGCAAAAUAAUCUGAGCCAUAUUUGCUCAACUUAGCACCUCCAAUCAUGGGAGUAGAUAUGCCUUUGGCCUCCCCCAUUUCUGCUCUCUCAAGCAAAUCAUUGAUGUAUUUUGUUUGUGUAAGAAGUAAGGAUCUGUCCUUCAAAUGAUGAACUUGAACACCUAGGAAAUAGUCUAGCUGCCCCAACUGCUUCAAAGAAAAUUCUGAAUCAAGAUUCUUCACCACUUGUUGAACUAAUGGCAGUGAAUUCCCAGUAAUAAUAAUGUCAUCUACAUAAACAAGAAUGUAGAUAACACAACCUUUGGUGUAGAAAGUGAACAAGGAAGGAUCACAUUUGCUAGGAGUGAAACCAUACUUAACUAGAGCUGCCCUUAACCUUUCAAACCAAGCUCUUGGGGCUUGUUUGAGGCCAUAGAGAGCCUUGUGCAGUCUGCACACAAAAGACUUGUCUUUACAAAGAAAACCAGAGGGUUGUGUCAUGUAGACCUCCUCUUGAAGUGCCCCAUUAAGAAAAGCAUUAUUCACAUCAAGUUGAUGAAUGUGCCACUUCUUAGUGAUAGCCAAGCUGAGGAUUAUGCGAAUAGUAAUUGGCUUUACCACUGGAGAAAAAGUUUCUGAGUAAUCAAACCCUUUCACUUGGUGAUAUCCUUUUGGCCACCAACCUUGCUUUGUAUCUAUUAAUUGUCCCAUCAGCAUUCUCUUUAACCCUAAAUACCCAUUUGCAGCCAAUAGGCUUUCGAUCCUUAGGGAGUGGAACCAAAGUCCAGGUUCCAUUGGCCAUCAAGGCAUCAUAUUCAGCUUGCAUAGCAGCCUUCCACUUAGGAUCCUUUAAUGCUUGAGUAGAGUUUGUAGGUUCUGCUUGGGUUAGGAGAAGUGUGGGAAAUAAUCUGGGCAUGACAAUACCAGAUUUUGCCCUUGUUUGCAUGGGAUGAACAUUCCCAAUGGGCUGAGCAAUUGCACCAGUAGAAGAAGAAGUUGCAGAAUUAUUAUGACCUGGCUGUGCUGAUCCAGAAGAUGAUCCAUGACUAGGUGAGUGACUAGGCUGCUGCUGAACUGAAAAACCACUGGGAUGAGUGUCCCCUGAAGAGGGAGGUGAAAGUGGAGGAGCAUUAACAGCUUGAGGUGGACCAUGAACAGCAGCUGGUACCAGAGAAAUAAUAGAAGAAAGCCCUUGAUCUGGGUGAGGAACCUCUGAGGAAGUGAACAUGUGUGGAUAGGGAAAGUUGAAUUCAUCAAAAACCACAUCCCUUGAGAUAUAAAUUUUGCCUUCAUUGUCCAUACACUUAUAACCUUGAUGUUGUGAUGAAUAGCCCAUGAACACACAAAGCUUAGACCUCAGAGACAACUUGGAUUGUGUGUAAGGCCUCAAAUGUGGGUAACAAGCACAGCCAAAAACUCUAAGUAGCUUGUAAUCAGGUUGUGUAUUAAAAAGCUUAAGGUAAGGACUUGCAUUGCCUAAAACAGAGGUAGGCAAUCUGUUAAUGAGAAACACAGCUGCAAGAAAAGCUUGAUCCCAAAAUUGAUAUGGCAAAUGAGCAUGUGCUAGCAAGGAAAGGCCAGUUUCAACAAUAUGGCGAUGUUUCCUCUCCACACUACCAUUUUGGUGAUGUGUAUAGGGACAUGUCAACCUAUGAACAAUCCCUGACUUUGUAAAAUAGGAAGUAAGGGGUUUAAACUCUGUGCCAUUGUCAGUUUGAAUAGACUUAAGUUUCUUGCUAAAUUUCAAUUCUACCAUAGCUUGAAACUGUAGAAAUGUGGAACAAGUAUCAGAUUUCUUUCUCAUAGGAAAGAUCCAUGUGAAACGAGAAAAGGCAUCCACACAAGUAAGAAAAUAAGAAAAACCACAAGAAGACUCAAUAGAGGAGGGCCCCCAUAAAUCAGCAAAAAUUAGCUCUAGAGGAGAGGAGUAAACAGUAGUAGAAGAAUGAGAUGGCAAGCGAUGAGACUUAGAAAGACAACAAGCUGAACAAACAUUGAACUUUGUUUUAUUAGGAACUUGAAUAUUACAAGAGGUUAAAGCUAAAUGCAAAGCCUCAUGAUGAGGAUGACCUAAUCUAGAAUGCCACAAACCAUAAGAGGUUGGGCUUACAAUAGCAGAAGAUGAAACUAUAGACUUAGGACUAAGACUAGGUGUAGUAGAGCUAGAUUAUGCAGCUGACAAAGCAGAAACUGAGUCUGAAACAGCCACUGGAGACAAAGAAGCAGAAGCUGGAAUAGGAGAUGUCUUGGAAAGGGAAGGAGUAUGCAUGCCUUCAAAGACAUACAAGCCAUCUGGUCCAACAUGACCUUGAAGAAGAACUCUAGAUGUGACCUGACAUUUAACAACACAGAAAGAAGGGUGAAAUUCAAAAUAAACAUGAUUGUCCCUUGCAAACUUACUUACACUAACCAAAUUCUUGGUGAUAUUGGGAACUAGAAGCAGAUUUUUAAGAGUGAGUGUGGUUGUAUUAUGAUAAGGAGAAGGAAAAGAAGCAGAUCCUAUAGAGAGGAUUGGCAAACCUUGUCCAUUCCCCAUGAAGAUGUGGUCAUUACCAGUGAGGGAGACACUAUCUGAGAUGACUGAGGAGUCAUUUGUCACAUGGUGAGUAGCACCAGAAUCAGGGAACCAAGUGCUCAGGUUUGCUGAAGCAGAUCCUCCAGCCUGUGAUGUGCCAGUAAGCAUAGCUUGUGGAGGCCUUGCAAUGGAAUUUUCAGGCCUCUGUCCUCCAUUGUUGAACUGAGAAGGAAAAUUACUCCAUGGAGUACCAGCAAAGGAACUAAAUCCAAACUGUUGAGGACCAAAAGGAAAACCAGAGAAUGAAUUUCCAUGACCAAACUGUUGUUGCUGACCAAACUGAGUGGGAAAACCAAACUGAGGAGAUCCACAGUAAGGUGAGAAGCCAAACUGAGGCAUAGGCAUCAUAGGAAAAUUAGGAAAUUGCAUUCCAUAGCCUGAGUUCAUUCCAGAAAUGCCAGAAGAAGGAGUGGAUGAAGAUGAAGAACCACGAUAGUAACAAACAGUAGCAUCAUGUCCAUACUUCUUACAAAUCUGACACUGAACGCUGCGAUUAUUACCUCUACCUCCUCCACGGCCAUUGUAGCCACCACGAGAGUUGUUUCCACCAUUGUUGCUAGUGUAGCCACCACGUCCACGCGAUUCAUAGGAUCCAGUGCGAUCAUCACUGCGAUCAUCAUAAGAACGAUCCUUAUAGGAAGAAUCGACAGAUCCAGAAGCAUAAUUUGCUUCAGAGGCCACCGGCGACGGUGUCGACAGCGGAGGUUGAGUCGCUGGUGGCGGUGGAGCCUGAGUAAGGAGCGCCGACGGAGGAUUUGUCGAGAUCUGGCGAGUACGAGCGCGAUCGAGACGCGCUUCAUGUGCGAUAAUCAUCGCUUCAACCUGCGAAAUCGAACUCGGUGAUUCACGAUUGUACACAAUCGUUUGAAGAUGACUGUAUUCCUCAGGCAAGCCAUCAAACACUGCUUCCAAGUGUUCACGAUAGGAGAUUGGAUCUCCAAUCGUGAUUAGCGCAUUAACAAUCGACUUAAUACGCUUGAGAUACUCAGAACACGACUUCGAUCCCUUGGAGAUGGAUCGAAUCUCAGAUCUCAGUUGUGUGGACUGCGCGAGAGCGUGUGCGUGGAAGAAUUCGAGCACUGCUUCCCAGACUUGCCAGGACUGAGAGCAAUUCACCAUAGUAGGAAGCACUGAUGGUGAAAGCGAAGAAAGUAACCACGUAAACAGAGCAGAAUCUUGCUGCUCCCAGACUUGAUAUGCAGGAUUCUCCACUGCAUUCACACGAUCUUCUUCAGUGAGAAAUCGUGGUGGAAUCUCAGGAUGAGAAAGGAAACUCUGCAACCUGUGAGUGCGAACGAUCCCUUCCACAUGCUGCUUCCAUGAAAGAAAAUUUGUAUCAUCAAGCUUCAACGUAAGCUUGUGAACAAGCGUGGAUGAACUCAACUGCGGUUGAGCCACUGGAACUGGAAUCGGGAUCGGAAUCUCUGAAAUUUCGUCAGCCAUGACGAAGAAGAAGGAGAAGAAAAGAAAAUCGAGAGAGAUCUCAAGGAUCGUGACCUGCUCUUGAUACCAUGUUGAAAACUCAGAACUCUGUAAAUCUAAUUCUCAUUCAUUUCAAAGGUUGUGAUACAAUAGACCAUAGUUCAGUACUUAUAGAAGAAUAUAAAGCUUGAUGAACAAGCUAACAAUUCUAACAAACUCUAACAACUAACUCUUAAUUCUGUUAUGCCAGCUAAGCUUGACAGCUAAGCAAGCAUAACUAACACACUAACUCAGCUACAAUCAGUAGCUUUACUUAACACGAGUAGUAUACUCUAAUAUACAGAUUUCCAAUUCAUCUUCAACUUUUAAAAAGUAAACAACAUACAACAUUCUAACAUAAAAGAAUUUAAAAUCACAUUCAGUUUAUCUAGAACUUCAGCAAUACCAAAAGCAGGAAGUGAAUUAAAAAAAAAACAAACAGAACACCAAAAAAUAGGUGCAUACCCGUUUGUUGUAAAAAUUGAAGGAUGUAAAGACUUUAUAAAACUCCAACAGAUUCAACAAAAUGCCUGUAUCAAAUGUCACUUCAAGCUGUUGAAGCAUUCCCUGCAUGUGAAGAUAGAAGAUGAAGAGACAAAACAGAAAACAGAAUGUAAAUGUAUCCUGUAUUAUUAUUCUAAAUUUACAUAGAGAAGUAGACUUAUAUAAGCUACUCUGACUAACGCAAGCACAUGUAACUAACUAACACACGUGUGCACAGCAUAGUUGGCACUUACAACUCAUAGCAUAGACUAGAUAUACUCUCUAGCACUGUAAAAAAAAAUUAAGGGAAAAAGUAGCACACUACAAAGACCAGCAGAACAUUCUUCCUUGAACACAUUGAGAUACCAUGAAAAUACCUUUACUGACAUGUCCAUAUCUCCGUUAGAGGAAAAAUGUACUUGAAUGCUGCAGAGAUGAUUAACUACGCCCAGUGUAUUACUUUCAUCUAUAGUCUGUCAAUCAAGGAAUACCACCAUCAGUAUCAAUGCAAUUGAAUUGGGGGGGGGGGGGGGGAGAAUAACAGUCAAUAGUCAGAAGUCAGAACCAUUGAACAAGUAUUUAUCAAGCAAAAAUUACAGUCAUAACCAAAUAAGUGCAGGCAGUUUGUUAUUCACCCUCAUUAGCUCCAUCUAAAAACUUCAAGUUGAUCUCUGUUAGAUGAAAUGCAAGAAAUUUUAUUUAAUCAAAGCAGGAGGAAAAUAACUAUCUGCUUAAUGUUUCUAGCAUUAAUGCAUUAUAUUUCAACCUUCUUUAUACAACUAGUUGCAAAAUUUCGAUAUCUCACAUCUAUCUACAAAGUGACGGGCAGAUUGACCUACAUACAGUAACCAAGCAAGGUGACUGAAACAUAAAAACUCUUCAGGUAUAUAUAUAAUAUGUCACCGCAAAGUCUUUAUCAAACUGAAAGGAGAACAGAGCUAUAAGACUAAUAACACACUACAGUAAUGAACAACAGCAACUAAUAAGUGAACCAGUAAUGAGAAGGUUAUGGUCAAUAAGUGGAAAUAAAACACAAGAUCAGGUAUGAUUGUAUUCAGGAGCAAGUUGGACUAGCCACCGUUAUGGGAAAGAUGACACAAAACGCAAACGUGAUUUGUUAUAUUAAUUCAGUACAGAUGAGAUAAGAAAGAUACCAACCCCUCUAAUCUGUAAAAUGACUUUGUUGCUGUUUGAAUCAACAAUUUUCCCCGACUUGAAUUUGGAGAUAAUAAUUCCAUGAUCUUUGUGUAGCUUAGAUUCAACAAUUCCACCUUCAAGAAUUAUUUCUGCAAUUUUGUGACAAUUCUUCCUAGAUAAAGAAGCAAAAGAGGGGGAAAAAGAUAUUUAGUUCACAAGUACAGAAUGCUAAUACAUGCUGUUGAAAAUUCCCACAUUGACUAAAGAUAUGGCCAAACAAAUGUUUAUAAAGGUAGAGCAACCCUCAACUCUUGAUCAAGCUUUUGGGUUGAGUUAGGCCUAACCCAAAUUCUAAUACAUGCAUUAACAAAUUUUAGACAUACCAUCAAUAUACUGAAACAGAGUUGCGAGUUUAACAGAAUCAAGUAGUUGAUAGAAGAGAGAGAGGGAGAGAAACUGAAUUCUGUUAUGAAUUAUUGAUCUUACACUAUUACAAUCACAGUGUAGAAUAUAUAUGGCACUUGUAAUACUAAUUGUGACCGGCUUAACAACAGGGGAGAAGGUCUUUGUAUAGUCAACUCCAGGUUGCUGGUGAAAGCCUUUGGCUACCAACCAGGCUUUUUUACUUUUGGACAGAACCAUCAGGAUUUUCCUUUAUCCUGAACACCCAUUUGCAGCAAAUGGACUCCCUUCCAUCAGGUAAGUCAACAAGAGUCCAUGUCUGAUUUUUCAGUAAGGCAUUAAAUUCUACAGUCAUAGCCUGAAACCAAGUUGGGUCAGCCAAGGCUUGUUUUACACUAGUGGAUUCCAAGUGUGUUAACAAAAGAGUAGGAUGGAGUCUUGGUUUUAUGAUGCCAUUCUUAGAACCGGUGACCAUAGGGUGAACAUUGUGAGGAAAAUGAGAUGAAGAGGCAGAAGAAGGUGCAAGAGGUGGUGUUAUGGGAGGAAUGGAAGGUAGAUCAUGACCGGAAUUAGUGUUUGAAGAUUGCUGAAUAGAAGAACCAGAAUGUGGAUUAUUUAAGGAACUAGGAGGAGGAAGUGGAGAAGGAGACUGGAGUGGCAGGCUCUUGUUGAUGCAUAGAGAUAGGUGGGAAAGAGCAAAGAGGAAUAGGAGCUGGUACAGGUAAUGACACAGAUGGUAAGGAAGCGGAUUUUGACUCAAAAAGUUAGGUAUAAGGAAAGGAAAACUCAUUGAACAAAACAUUCUUGGAAAUAAUCUGUCUACCCUCACUAGUUAAACAUGUGUACCCCUUAUGAGAAGUGGAUUAGUGGAAUAUCCCAAAAACAAACACCUUUGAGACCUGAAAUGCAUUUUGUGAGAUAAAUAUGAAGGCAAUGACCGAUAAUCACUGGCUCAAUCUGCUACUUCCAUAGCAGACAAUUCUUGUUAGAAAGCUUCUCAGUGAUAACAUGCAAGAAUACAGAAGGAUUCGACAUAUUCAUCGCAUUGACAGGGUGAGCGUGAAUCGGAGAAGUGUGAAGCGGUUGAGUCUGAAUCAGGGACGUCACAUGCGAUGGAGAACGUGGCGGCGAUCUUGGUGGAGUAGAGGGAGAUCCAACGUCAGCCAUGGAUUCUCCAAAAAAAUCAAGCUCUUGAUACCAUAACAGAAUCAAGUACAUGGUAGAAAAGAGAGAGAGAGAGAGAGAGAGACGGGGGGAGGGAGAGACGGAAACAGAAUAACUGAGUUCUGUUAUGAACUACUAAUCUUACACUAUUACAAUCACAAAAGCAGAAUAUGUAUAGUGCACUUGUAGCACUUAGGUAGGUUCAGGUCUUAGUAUCCGAACCAACUAACUAGCUAACCUCUUAAAUUAUCACUCAGUGAGUGUAUACUCUGUUAGGCCUAACCCAAAUUCUAAGAGUUAUAGUGGCAUCUUAAAAAUUGAGAAUAUGACCUUUUUUAUAUUAAUAAAAAAUUAUUAAGAAUUGAUAGAAAGGAACAUCUUAUAUGCUAGGAUUGUAACUGAAAGAAAACUAAAGCUUUGAGGCUCAAACAGGCUGUAAUACAUGUACACUCACAGAUUCCUAACUAAAUUCUAACAAUUCUUACUUCCUACCAGCUAUGCUGAAGACUAGGCAAACUACACUACACUACAUGGCAAAACAGUAUAACAGAUACUGCACUGCUGAGAUAAGUAUUACUUUAACAUAUAUUAAGUAAAAACAGAAAUCAUACUUUUCGUAAAAUAAACAAAUAAAGAAACACUUAAAAUGACUGUAAAAUAAGGAUAGAGUAAAAUACAGUCUAUAUAAAGUGGCAGAAAUCUGACAAAUUUCAAUCUUUGAUGCAAAUAUGCAUAAUUCAUGCUUGGUAGAAAAAUCGACACUGGAUGAAACCAGAGGAUGAAAUUCAGUUGCUUCAGAUAUAUCCUGCAAACAAGCAGCAACCGUUAGACUGAAAAGUGUCGCUCAGCAUUUAACAUGAUACUACCAUGUGUGGUUUAGAUUUUCGUUGUUUAAUUAGAAGUUAAAUGUAAUAUAUGAUUUUUCAUAUUUCAUUAACAAUCAGUGAUCUGCUUUGUUAUCAAAACAGCAACAAUAUCAAAUAUCUCUGCAAGAAAAAAAAAUGAUAAAGCAUAAGGAGCAUCUCAUUUAUUUUCAACUUUGACCUCAUUAUUGAUUAAUCAGUUUAUGCAAGUAGAUGUUAACACUCCAAAAUUGAGCUUCUCAUUCUAUACAAUGUUUCAAUUCAAUUACAGAACUCCAAAUUAUAUAAUAUUUUUUCUUGCGGUGCUUUAACUUCCGAAGUACCGGAAGUAAAAGAAAAUUAAAUUCCAGAGAGUUCUGGAAUCGUAAAGUUUAGAUACAAGAUAUAUAUGUUCGGAACUCCAAAUUCAAGAACAGAUAAUUUUUUUACUUCCCAAAAUUGGACUUCUAAAACUACAAUUAAAAUUAUGAAAUUCCAAUUUUGAAAGCAAAAAAAUCAAUUCUGCAGUUCCAGUAUUGAAACUACCUUUCUUCCAUAACAUUCCACAAAUGUAAUUAUAGUUCCAUAUUUGAAGUUGAGAGAGAGGUAUUGAGAGUUAGUGCCCGCUUUAAUUCACAUGACGAUUCAUCAAAAGCGUGUAUCAGAAAUGAAGAAAUAAAAUGAAAAACAGAAUGGGUUGUGCAAUUAGAAAAUAAAGGUGUGCAAAAAGCAACCCCCAUUACAUACAUUGAUAAUAGACUCCAUCCCUCAAGUUAAGAGAUUAGGAUCAACUAAGGAAACAGUGAUAACAGAUACAGCAAAAAUAAUACUAGAUCAUUUCCUGCAGAAUAAUAUCUCAACAAAAAAAUAUAACGAAACUAUUGCUCAGAGAUAAUCUAAGUUGCUUUAAGUAUUCAUAGAAACGCUAACGUUAUUAUGAGGUUUAAAAAGGAAAAUCAUCAUGUAACUAUCAAUAUAAAACAAUAAAAAAUGGUAUUUGUUAGAAUUAUAAGUUAGAACCACACACCACCACAAAACCAUAAGGCUUAAGGCAAUGGGUAUGUGUGUUCUUCAUUAUAUAUAUACACUUGUACACUAGCUAAUCCACCCAAUGCGGGGCUUCUUCGGGUCUCCACUUGGUAUUCUCAGGGCCGUGUAUAGAGAUUUUGGGGCCUAAGGCGAAAAUGAUAAAGUGUUUUUAUUUUAACAAAAAUCUUAAAGAGACCGAACAUAUCAUAUAAAUUAUUAAUUUUCUAUAUUAAUCUUCCCGUUUUUUGAGCUGUGAAAUCAUUUAUUAGAGUUUUAUACUCCAACAUAAGUAAAAUAUUAUGAACAAUAGAACAUGAAACACAAUGAAUGAAUCAAUGAGAGAUUUUGCAACAUUUUAAUAAUAAAUAUCUCAUUUGAUAAUUCACUUCAACGUAGAAAAAUGAAAAUUUUCUUUUUUUAGAGAAGAAACAAUGAGUGCAAAGCAAACUAAUUGUUAUAAAAUUUUCCUCUUGUAACAAAAAAAAAACACUAAUUGUUAUGAGUAACACAAUUUAAUUUUUUGAGUUUUUUAAAUGUAUAAACAACAUAUAUUUUAUUUAUUAUUUAUUGUUUUUUCUGGAAAAUGUAAAUUUUCUAAUACAGAACAAUACUAUUAAUAACUAUCAAAAUUGCACUUAAGUUCUUACAUUGCAUUAUCCAUGUUACAAUUAAUAUUACUUAAUUUUUUAUUGUUUCACUACUUUUUUAAGUCCCAGUAAUAUAACCUAUAUACAUACCAAAAACAUUUGGGGGCCUAUAUAUUUUGGGGGGCCUUAGGCAAUUGCCUAUUUUGCCUAAGGCCUAUUUAAAUUCAAACUGAAAUGCAUUUUUCCCAACAUAUAAUCUGGACGUGAAAGUUUCAUUUUUUGACCGCACAAACCAAAACAUGCACAACCCUCAACAUAUUUUGAUAGUUUAAUAAACAAUAGAGCACAGGCACUGCACCUUAACAUCAAAUGACACAACUCCAGAAAAUUGACUGGAAUCAUCGGUUCCACCAGCACCAAGCAUCCCACGAGAUAGCCAAUUCAGCCAUCCCCGGGAUUUAACUGUGUGCUCAUCAUUGCUAUGAUUAUCUAUAUGGAUAUCAUCAGUCUGAAUCCUACCACUGUUAGUAGAAGAACUAGAACACCUCGACAAUAAUUCCUGUAAGAACAUAAAAAGCAAGAACUUUUAAAACCAAACAAGCAAAUGACACAACUCAAAAAUACAGAGCCUCAUCAGCAUAAAAGUUGCACAAAAUAAGUCAAUCUACCAUGGAAUAUAACACUAAACAACCAGACACUGAAUUUUAAUUCAUGACAUGUAGCACACUUACCCGCAUCUCAUAUUCUGCAGCAGAUCGAUAAUUCAAAAUAUCAUCUAGAUCUGAUUCUUUCUCCAUUUGCUCCAAAUCUCUAAGAACAGUGUCAUCAACUGGCUAAUAAACGCAAAUAUUAUCAUCAUCAACAACAACUGGACAGGACAAUUUAAAUCAUGUAAGAAAUGAGAAAAGAAAAGAAAUGAUUAAACCUGUGUCUAAAUGAUAGGAACAAAUCUCCUAAGGGUAGGCUGUUAUUAUAACUAACUAGCUGAUAGCUGUUACGUAGAAUAGUAAGUUAGUUAAUUAAAGGGAGUGGAUAACAGAAUGAGUAUGAGACUGUGAAUUUGGGGUAAGGGGGGCAAUCAGGGUCAUUAGGGGAGAGUAUUGGUCUCUAGAAUAUCAACGAAUUUAUGUAUUCAUUGUUCAGUGUAAUAACACAAUUCCUUUUUUAUGCUCUAUAUGAACAGGUUCUAAUGAACUGGUAUCAGAGCCUUCUACCAUGACUCUGAGCCACAAAUGAGCUCCGGCAAUGAUGACACCGAUAUUGCAGUGUUCACCUAGGACUAGUCAAAAAGCAGAUAAUGCACAGCCACCCAACCUGGGCGCCAGGCAGUGGAGCAUUGUGAGAUGCCUAAGAUCCAAUCGCCAGGCAGCCAGCCUACUUGGCUCAUCUUAUGAACCACCUUGCUGAGGAUGUAGUCAGCCACACACAGAAGGUGACCUUAAAAGCCCACUCCUAUAUAUCAUCUGUCUUUUAAUUCUCCUCCGCCACGGGUCACUUGAUACCUUCACCCACCAUCGUGAUCUCCAAUCGGCUGUCCUAGAUCUAUCACACCAAUUUUUUUCGUUCUGUGAAUUUUCCAGUAGCCCCUUCCUGAGCUCUCUUCUGAUACUUGCAAGUUCUUUCUGAACUAUCCAACAAUGUCAAGCUCACGCUUGUGCUUCUCGAUUUCUUUCCUCCAAUUUGCCAUCUCUUUCUUCAUAUCUCCAAGAAUGUCAAGAAUUUCCUUCCUUACUUCUGACAACAGUGAACAGCUCAUGGAUCCUUCCAUAUUCAACCACCACAGCUACUUGAUAGAGCUCUAAUACCAACUGAAUAAAAUUAAAAUUUUUAUUGAAUGAAAGGAUACUUCGAGUUUCUAGGCUAUUCGAGCGAACCCAGCCUCUCUCACUUCCCAAUUACAAUGACACAUAUAUGAAGUCCCUCUAAUCUCUGUUAGUUAUAAUAUUUCCCCUCUCGCUCUCUUAUCUAACUCACUGUUACAAACUAUUCUACCAAGUCACUAACUAGAGAAGGGGUUACCUAUCAAAAGUUGCCUCUUGUUAGACUCUGGUACCAUGUUAGCACAAGAGAAAACAAGAGUCAAAUAAUGAAAUGUAUAUCUACAGUCUAAACUGCACAACAGAGCUGAAUUAUGAACAAAAAUCACAAAUACAGCAAUAACAUACACAAACCACAGUCAUCUUAGUUACUGUAAUUGCAGAAUUUGAUCAGUCUUACAACGAAUUCAGAAAUUAUUUACAUACUUUACAGAAACAGGUAAAAUCUAAAAAGCAUUUCUAACAAAUAUAUGAUACACAUACAGAUCUAAAUGUGUGUGCCUACAUGGAAAAGAACAGCAAAAGAAAGCCACCUGCUCUUGUCGGAGAAAAUCCAACUUAGUCUUGUACAAGUUCAUAUAAUUCCUACGGAAGCUUCUGCAACCAGGAAACGUAAUGAAUUACCAGACGUGGUAGAUAAAUAUCAAUAAGAGACUGCAUACGGACACAAAUAAAAUAAAAAGAUAAAUUUGAAACGCUAUCUAAAAAGAAGACUAAUAAAGAAAGAUAACACAGUAUCAGUACAAUAUCAAAAUAUGACAGACAUAGGUUUGAGUCAGAUCUUACAUCUCAUUCAGGAGUUCAAAAAAAAAAAAUACAUCUCAUUCAGAAGAAUUUGCAACCUCACACUUGCAGGUUGCAUGUGAUACAGUGAUAGUGACACAAUAAUUAUUUGAAAGGAUAAUAAGCAUAUAUUCAUGCUUGCUCUACAGAUACUUCUGUUUUUAACGUGAUUCAAGGUCAAAAAGUUAAUGUCAAAUUAUGGUGUGGCAGGAGUUAGAAGAUGAACCAGAGAGACAAUACUGUGAAAGGUUACUAUAUUAACAAUCUGAAUGAUUACAGUAUAAUCAGUUAUAUUUAUAGAAGAUGAAGCUUACACUAGAAGCCUCCAAUCAGUUGUAACAGAAUAAUAGAGAUAAUGAAGUGGUAACUCAAAGAAGUCCCACAUUGCCAAGAUUAGCAAGUGCACAAGUGCAUAUAUAAUAAAGAACACACACACCCAUUGCCUUAAGCCUAAGGUUUUGUGGUGUUGUGUAGUUCUAACUAAGGAUUUCUAACAUGGUAUCAGAGCUGGUCUGAUCCAAGCCAUGACUUCCGCUUCCAAAAAAAAAAAAAAAAAAAAAAAAAAAAAAACGAAAAAAAAAGUAAAAAAAAAUCCGAAAAAAAAAAGAAGCAAAAAUGGCAGUCCCAUUUGCGCAAGCCAAGGCCUCAGACUCAGACGAAGGAGCACAAGUCCAAGGAACUCCGAUGCUCCCGCUAGAGUACUAGCCCAGACAAAGAAAGUCGAAAGGCAGACUCAGACGAGGAGCACAAGUCCGACGGCCACUGAUGUUCCCGCUGGAGUGCAAGGCACAGGCAAAAAAAAAAAAAAAUGGAGUCCCAAUUGAGGGGGAGUAAUAGAGAUAAUGAAGUGGUAACUCAAAGAAGUCCCACAUUGCCAAGAUUAGCAAGUGCACAAGUGCAUAUAUAAUAAAGAACACACACACCCAUUGCCUUAAGCCUAAGGUUUUGUGGUGUUGUGUAGUUCUAACUAAGGAUUUCUAACACAGAAUGCUGAGUCAGCAUAACAGAAGCUGGCUCAGCCUAACAGAAUCUAAGCUAAUCUUAUUCUAUUAGCUAGUUAGUUAUAAUAACAGCCUACCCUUAGGAGAUUU
rnacentral:lncRNA from 1 species